CUGGGGAUGACAACUUGGCUUAAGUGGUGUGAGGGAUAGGUUUGGCAUUUUUGGCACCGUUACUAGAUUUAGAGAACUUAGUCUACUUUUGGUAAUGAUGUUAAGAAUACCCAACAAGCAUUUUUGGCGCCGUUGCCGGGGAAGGUUGAUUACUAAUCAGGAAUGGAAUAAAAGAUUUUGAGUUAUCAUUCGCAUCACUAAUAUGAUUGAGCUUAUCUAUUCUCUCAUACAGUUUUACCCCGAUAUUUUCCUAUUUCAUCUUAUGCAGGGGAAUGUAUGAAUAGAAGACAUCUUCCAGAAAAUUUUGUUGACAAUCCCGAAGCAUUAUUCAAGAAGACGAGAGCCAAGCUAAAGAAAUCAUCAACACUUCAGCAAGAAGCUUCAUCCAAUCAAGAAGAUCACCGGAACUUGUCUUCAAAGUUUGAAGCCAUGGCGAACAAAUCAAUCCGCGAGUUCUUAGCUCCCACUACAGACAACAUCCGCACUGGACCUGCUGCAGAGAUCGAUGGCAACUUUGAGCUCAAGCCUGGACUUAUCAACAUGGUGCAAUCCAACCAGUUCUGUGGGAAGGCACACGAAGAUGCUAGUGCUCAUUUACAACACUUCCUGGAGAUUUGCAAUACAUUCACCAUAUCAGGAGUUUCCAAAGAUGCUAUACUACUUCGCCUCUUCCCAUUCUCACUCUUAGGAAGAGCGAAGCAGUGGUUCUACGCUACAAAGGAGAAGAAUACUACGUGGGCACUCUGCUCAACAAACUUUCUGGCAAAGUUCUUUCCCAUGGGCAAGACCAAUGCUUUUCGUGGGAAGAUUACAAGUUUUCAGCAACAAAAUGAUGAAUCUGUUCCAGAAGCAUGGGAGCGCUUUAAAGACUACAUCCUAGAAUGUCCCCAUCAUGGAAUGGAGAGUUGGCUAUUAAUGCAGACAUUUUAUCAUGGGCUCGGCAACAGUGCCCGAGAGACUAUGGAUGCUGCAGCUGGAGGAGCAUUCUUAUCACUUACAAUACCACAAGCCACAGCUCUUGUGGAGAAGAUGGCGUCCAACCAAAGCUGGAAUGAAGAGAGGACCCAGACACGCAAGAGAGGUGGAGGUAUGCAUCAGCUGAAAGAGGUAGACAUGCUGUCUGCAAAGCUAGACCUGCUCAUGAAGAAGCUCGAUGAUAGAGCUGGAGACAAGAAAGAAGUUAUGCACAUCUACGACUCUCACAUGACUUGUGAGGAGUGUGGAGACACUUGACACUCAGGCAACCACUGCCCUGAGAUGCUUGAGGAUGUGAACUACAUCAACAACAACAACAACUACUACAACCGUCCUCAACAAAAUCAAGGUUGGAAUCAACAGAGGCCUAACUACUCAGGUAAUUAUCAAGGUAACAAUUCUUACAACAAUAAUGCUAAUAAUUUUCCACCUUUGAGAGAGUUAGUGUCUAAUCAAGGAAAGCUAAUGGAUAACCUAUCUAAGAAAUUGGCAUCUAAUGAUAAAAUGCUAGAAAAUAUAAAUAAUAGAAUGGAUAAUUUCUCUACUGCCAUCAAGAAUCAAAUUAGCUUUAAUAAAAUGAUUGAAUCUCAGUUAAAUCAAAUAGCUGCUGCUGUUCCUACUACUAACCCCGGUAUACCAUCACAACCGGAAGGAUUAGAAUCUGCAAAUCUUGUAGACACGUUUGAUGCAGGUAAUUAGAGUAACACCGUCACUGAAUUCUCUACUGACCUUCUGCCGGUCAAGAGAGGCGAUCCAGGACGCCCCGUCAUCCCGAUCUCUAUCGGCAUGGUGGACGUUCCAGAAGCACUCUGCGACUUUGGCUCCAGUGUCAACAUUAUACCCAGGGUACUCUAUGAAAAAUUCUUUACAUAUCCUUUAUUAGAAACAACCAUGUGUUUGCAGUUUGCAGAUCAGAUGAUAACUUUUCCAAAAGGAAUAGUGAAGAACCUUUGUGUCCGAGUUGGUACCUUAUAUGCCCCAGCAGACUUCGUAGUGGUAGAGACCGGAAAUGAUGAGAGAGCACCUAUCAUCUUAGGGAGGCCAUUCUUGAACACCACGGGAGCUAUCAUCUACGCUAGUGCUGCUAAGAUCAGUUUCUACGUCAAAGGGAAGAAGGAGACAUUUUUCUUCAAGAACAAGACUACACAAAUUCCAGAUCAUCCAGACGUCAAUCAAGGAAGAGGACCAACAGGAGGAACAGGAACAAGCAAGUGUGGACCGAGUCAGCUAAGAUGGUCACUGUAGUUCAUGGAGGCCAAGAUCACCAACUUAAGUCACCGCUUUUGACCAAGAAGGACGACCCAGGAAUGCCAAGCAUCUACUGCUCCAUACAUGGAUAUAGCUUCUACAAGACGAUUUGCGACACCGGAUCGGGCGUCAACAUAAUGGCCGCAGUCACCUAUCGGCUCUUGUUCGGGACCAUGCCACUAAGAACAACAUACAUUCAGCUCCAGAUGGCAGAUCAGACAUUUCGAGAAGUUAAAGGAACAGUAACUGAUGUCCCAGUCAAAAUAGACAAUAACUUUGUCUACACAGACUUUCAAGUUGUUGACAUGGGAGAAGAUGAGUACGAUCCACCCAUCAUCCUUGGAAGACCGUUCCUCAGCACCGUUAAAGCGAUUAUCUACAUUGGAACCGGAGAAGUCCAUAUGCACUUCGCCUCAGAGAAGGUACGCCAUUAUUUUACUGACCCUAACUAUAUCAUUGAAGAAUCUAAGCAGGUAAGAAAGCGACGCAACCGCAACCAGAGGAGGAAGAUCAUCAAGGACGGAUGGGCAGACUACGAAGGAGAAGUUAUAAGGUCAGAAAACGUAGAGUUUAAACAGAAUUAUCCAGAGGAGACCGAAGCACCAAGUCAGGUGUGGAAAAUGAAGAUAACUAUACAUGAAGAGGAGGCGCCGCCGGAAGUACCGACUACGCCACCCAACGAACCUCAGGACGAUUAAGAAAAUGGAGAGUCCCGUUCGGAGGACUUAAAAACACCGAACGCCUUGCCGAGAGGUAAACUUGGUAGUUAUCCUUUCCCUUUCAAUUAUUUCAACUAGUUUACAUAGUUAAUCAUGUUCGUACUAUCUUAAAAAUAAAAGAAAAUAAAAAUGCGAAAAACAGUAAGCCCCAUAUGAGUAUGCGAGUGGCAUAAAACCCAUAAGUACAUUCACUGUGGUGGCAUAAAAAAAUAAAAUAAAAAUUCCUUUUCUGCUUUAUAAAAUAAAAAUAUAAAAAUAGGGAGUAAUAAUUAUUAAGGAGUCUCAACAUGAUAAAGGCUAGAUAUUUAUGCUAACACUUAAUCAGUUCCACAAGCUUUGUUGUCUAUUUGAAACUCCACAGAAUUUAAGAAUCAAGAAGACUAGCAGACGGAGGACAUUCUAAUCGCUGUCAGAAUGCUGCUGACUUUCAAAUACACCUCUACCACCUACUAGCUACAUCAAGAGAAAUUACGUCAAAAUUCAGCUUGGGGGAGAGCACCUCCAUUUAUCCCGAUAAGUAUUUCUAUCUAUCUUUAUACUUAUAUUAUAUUAGAAUAUUAAAUAUACAUAAACUAUAAAAAACCAAAUAAAGAUUUUAAGCUUAUAUAUAUCUUUUGCUUAGUGUGUUUAAUAAAUAAAUAAAGUGGCUAUGCUAAUCUGUAUCUAAAUAAAACUUAAGCAUGGAUAUGAUGAAUAGUUGCUCUGCCUAAUUUGCACAUUUUAAGUUCUCUCUCAAGUUUAGAUAUAACUGUUAUAAUUUAAAGCUUGCUCUAGACCUAAACUUGUGGGAUGAAAACUUGAUCUGAAGUCUAAGUUGUUAACGGAUAUGAUAUGGGAAGGUUGAGCUGCUGUUUAUCUGUUCCUAGAGAUGCUAGAAUUCUGGAGAAUUUUAUCUUUGAAAAUCUUUAAAAUGUUGCAUGAUGAGUUUCUGUAUGAUGAUAGUUUAAAUUCCUACCACAGCCAUAUAUACAUGCUUGCUAGACUUUGAGCCACACAUUUACUAUUUACUGCUUAUGAGCAUUGAGUGUGGUCAAGCUGUGUAGACCCUUAGGAGCUUGUCAUGUGGUUAAAUCAAGAUUCACUUGCACGUUCACUCAUAUAUUCUACUUCUAUUCCGGAAGUACCAUCCACAUAUAUCCAUCCAUUCCAUCUCCAGAAUCACCCAAAAAUAUUCUACUCCUAAUCCGGGAGAGAAUAGCCAAAAAUAUUUCUGUUUUCCCUUGUGAAAUAAAUGCUCAAGUUAUCUUGUUACUACCACUUGCUAUAUUAUCUCAUGAGAUGAGUGCUUUCUAAAAAAAAGAGAUACGAGGAAAUAAAAAGAAGCAAGUGCUCGGAACCUCGAUAGAAAAAAGAGAGUGAGACGAGAGGUAAAAAUGGAAAAGUGUUCGACGGUAGAAUUAGGGGUACAAGAUACCCACCUGAGAGAAAAGAAAAAGAAGAGCAUCUCAUUCUCCUCAUAAAGUUUCAAAAAAGCAAGAAAGGUAUGUAUCCCCUCAAAAGAGCAAAGUAGAAUUAGACUUCCACCACCAUUGUUUUCACCAUUGUUAUCACCAUCAUCACCAUACAUCAUUCAUUCGCCACACAUGCACAUCUUCAUUAAACUCAUUGGCUUGUUUCUUUGGAUCCAUGGUUUGACUAUACAAUACAUGUCUUGUAAGUAUGUAUACUUUAUCUCCCACGUAUGAGCUCCAGAUAUUAAAGCCUUAUUAGAGUAGGGUGAGAGAGAAGCAAUGUCACUAUGCUUUAUACCACAAAUACUACAUAUAUCGAGAGAAGGCAUAUACCAUUACUGCCUUGGUAAGGAUCCAGAAAUACCACAAAAGAGAGAUCUGAGAGAAUCAUACAAGGAAUUCUGAGUUUUAUUUGAAAAUCUGCAAAAACCCCAGAGCUAUAGCUGAUCAAGAAUAAGAGACAUGGCACUUGACUAGACUGUUCUAUCUUUUAACCACUCAAGAUAGAAGUGACGGUUACAAGUCCCGUGGUAGAAGGUAAAGUAAGUAAGUUUUAAGUCUUCACAGUUUACUCUAACUCAGAGAUGAGAUCUUAUUUAAAAAGCAUGUGUACCGUCAAUUAUUAAAAAAAAUAUUGCAACAACUUAUGAUCCAUAGCUGAGUCUAUCCUUGCUCAGGGACGAGCAAGAGGUAAGCUUGGGGGAGUUUGUUGACGGUCCUUAAGUAUCAAAUUUAAUUAUCAAAUAAAUAAAGAAAGGGAUCCAAAUGAAAUCAACAUCUAGACUUAGGGUUUUAUCUGACAGAAUUCCACGAGUUUUGGUGUUUGUCUAUUUCUGCAGGGGGUUAUCAGGAAAUACGGAAGAAAGGCCCACACGUCGGGAUUACAUAGAGAUAUUAACGUGUUGCGCAAUUAUCUUACAUCUAGAAGACUCCAGAAGCCACGAGACCGAAGCGGAGGCGAAACGGGGCCAGAGGCAGGGCGCCCGCCCUCCUGCCCUGGGCGCCCGCCCCCUCUGGGAGUCCAAUCGGGACUCUGCUUUGCGGGAGAUUUCCACCUACCUAAAGGAUGAAUCUAAACCAUAAAAUCUAUGUCGGUUUGAUCCAAUGGCCCAUAUUCACUUGAAGGGACUAUAAAACCAGACCCCCUGGCCCCUGGAGGAGAGAGCCUCUCAACCCUAAUUCAUUAUUUCUCAAGGGAGAAGAAGCCCCUGAUCAAGAUUAGAGCCACCACAUCAAUUAGAUAUCUAGAUUAGCAUAGCUACAUAGGAUUAGAACUAGAAGGAGUCAAUCUUCGAUUGGUUUCCGGAUCUGUCAAGAGGAUUCUUGGUAAUUCUCUAAUUGUGCUUCUAAUUGCUUUCUAAUUAUCUUUGUUCUUCAAUAUUAUGAGUAUGACUUUGUUCUACUUCAAUAUAUUGCUUAUGACUUUGCUCUACUUGCUUAUAUUCAAGAUUAUAUUGUUCUUAGUUUAUCAUAGUUAUGUACUUGGCUUAGUUAGAUUCGAUCUAUAUACAUGCUUAGGAUCGUAUAGCGUUUAUCCAUCGGAUCCAUGGGUAAAUGAUAGAUAUUGUGUAGGCGUGGUGCUUAUACCGUAUUUAUCUGCGAUUGUACCCAAUAUGCCAGAUCGUGGGGUAGUUCGUGAUAGUGACAGCUUCAUUGAUUCUUAUAUAGUCCCCCUCUCGUGUAUUGGGCUGGCAGAGCAACAUUAUUACAGGGGAGUGAUUGCUAUGUUUCUCAUAUUCCUUGCUAAUAUCACUAUGCAUGGGCGUAGUCUUGUCUCGCAAUGAUUGCUAAGUAUGCUUGCACUAACUAUGAUAAUGCUAGACUAUAUAGUUGAGAAUAACUUAGGGAAUAUUCUUGUAGUUCGUUCUAAUACCAUGCUAAUGACUUUCUAGAGUAUCUAAUUGAGGUGCUUAUCAUAUUUAUUAUGUGGCUAGAUCAGAUUAAUUAUCCUUGUCACUAUUAUUAUUUCAUAUAUCUUUUAUGUGACACUUAUCCCUGUAUGAUGAGUUAGAUAUAAUGUUCUCAAUUAUACAUGCAAUGAUAGAUGCUCAAUCUCAUAUUCUAUUCUGUAAUCAAUAUUGAUGAUUGCUAAUCCCUUCCCAGUGGUAAAAAUAUAAAUAACGAUACCUGGAAUACAUUCCGGUUAAAACGCUGCAUCGGUAUUAAUCUGUGCGCUUGCAGAUCCCAUUCAUUAUUUAUUUAGAAGAGCAAUUGCAUAUUUCAAUACCGCGUCUCUUAUAUCAUGCUGGGGAUGACAACUUGGCUUAAGUGGUGUGAGGGAUAGGUUUGGCAUUUUUGGCACCGUUACUAGAUUUAGAGAACUUAGUCUACUUUUGGUAAUGAUGUUAAGAAUACCCAACAAAGUCAAAUCAAGAUGUGCAUGUGUGGCGAAUGAAUGGUGUAUGAUGAUGAUGCUGAUAAUGGUGAAAACAAUGGUGAAUGUCUAAUUCUACUUUUGCUCUUUUGAGGGGAUACAUACCUUUCUUGCACUUUGAAGCUUUUUGAGGGAAAUGAGAUGCUCUAUAUUUUCUUUUUCUUUUCUCUCAGGUGGGUAUCUUGUACCCCUAAUUCUACUAUCGGACACUUGUCCAUUUUUACCUCUCGUCUCACUUUUUCUUUUCUUCGAGGUUCCAGGCACUUGCCCCUUUUUAUUUUCUCAUAUUUUUCUUUUUUUUAGAGCACUCAUCCUCCUGGAAUAAUAUAGCAAGUGGUAGUAACCAAAGUAUUUGGAGCAUUUAAUUUCACAGGGAAUAACAGGGAUAGGAGAAUGUUUUUGGCUAUUCUCUCCCGGAUAGGAGUAGAAUAUUUUUAGGUGAAUCUAGAGAUGGAAGUGAGUGGAUGGAUGUGGAUGCGUACUUCCGGAGUAGAAGUAGCAUAUAUGAGUGAACGUGCAAGUGAAUCUUGAUUUUAACCGCAUUACAAGCUCCUAAGGCCCUACACAGCUUGACCACACUCAAUGCUCAUAAGCAGUAAAAAGUAAAUGUAUAGUUCAUAGUCUAAUAAGCAUGUAUAUGUGGCUGUGGUAGGAUUUUAAACUCUCAUCAUACAGGAACUCAUCAUGCAACAUUUUAAAUAUUUUCAAAGAUAAAAUUCUCUAGAAUUCUAGCAUCUCUAGGAACAUAUAAAUAGCAGCUCAACCUUCCCAGAUCGUAUCUGUUAACGACUUAAGAUCAAGUACUCUUCCCACAAGUUCAGGUUUAGAGCAAAUCUUAAUUCAAAACAGUCAUGCCUAAACUUGAGAGAGAAUUCAAUUUUGAGAACUAGUCAUGGUAGAGCAACUAUUCAUCAUUUCCAUGUGAGCGCUUAUCAUGAGGGUUCAUAGCAAACUUUAUUUAUUUAUUUAUUUAGCAAACUAAGCAAAGAUAUAUAUAAGCACAAAAAUCUUUAUUUGGAUUUUUGUGAGUAUGCAUCUUUUUAUUAUUUGAGUAAAGUAUAAACGCGAGUAGAAACACUUAGCUAGUUAAAUGGGGGUGCUCUCCCCCAAGCUGGAUUUUGACGUAAUUUCUUCUGAUGCAGCUAGCAGGUGGCGGAGGUGUAUUUGAAUGUCGGCAGCACCCUGACAACGAUUAGGACGUCCUUCGUCUGCUAGUCUUUUUUUAUCCUUGAAUUCUGUGGAGCUCAAAUAGACAACAAAGCUUUGUGGAACUAGUUAAGUGUUAGCAUAAAUAUCUAGCCUUUAUCAUGUUGAGCCUCCUCAAUAAAUGUUAUUCUCUUUAGUGGGAUCACAAUCUUAUUUUUAUAUUUUCAUUUUUAUAGGACAGGAAUAUAUUUAUUUUAUUUUUACGCCACCACAGUGAAUGUACUUAUGGGUUUUAUGCCACGAGCAUGCUCACAUGGGGCUUACUAUUUUUAAUAUUUUUAUUUUCUUUUCAAGAUAGCAUGAUUAACUAACAAGCCAUUUAAGGUAAGUAAAUAAUUUAAGGGAAAAGGGAAUGCAGAAAGGAUAAAUAUGGAUAACUACCGAUUUUACCUUUCAGCGAGGGUUCAAUGUUUUAAGUCUUCUGAACAAGACUUCUCAUCAUGUUCAUUCUUUAGGUGUGUCAUUUGAUUCAGGUGUGGACCUUGACAUCUGCACCUCUUGAUACGGUGUCACCCAUGUUCUUCGUUUGCCCAGCAGUUUGAAGUGUGGCGUUGGCAGCAUCCUGCUCGGUGUGUUUGUGCUCGUAGAUCCACGUCCUUCACUUGGCGGAAUCUGGGAGUUGUAAAACUCCACCAUGUUUUGCUCCAAGUCUACCUACUCAUAGAGACAAGGCAGAGAUCAAGUGCAUAGGCUCUGUUGGUGGAAAACACCAACAAAACCAAAAGUGUAUUUGUUCUUCUCUAACCUUAAGCAUAGUGAGCAAGACAAAUUUGAUGGAUAAUAAUUUCAUGAGUGUAACAUUUAAAAUAUUUGUCAGAUUAGAUCGCUCAACCUUAUUGAAUAAUCUAUCUAUGUAUAUGUCUUUUUCUUUAUAUCUUCCCAAAGAUUGAAUGUGCAACACUUUAGCUCAUAUGAUUAGGAGUGUAGGAUCACAAAGGUGGAAGGACUAAACAUAUUGAAUCGAUUGGGUUGGUUAACCUAGAGCUGUAAAUCAUACAUGUUUGUCUCUUUUAUUCAUAUGAACGCCAGAACCAAGGAGGAGCUUAUAAAACUGAUAGUCAAGUACCUUAAGAUGUUACCUUACUUGAAGAGGUGAUGGUACAGUAUGACCUUGUGGAAGCUUUCCUUUCUUAGCGGUUGUGCAUCGUGUUUGUGGCACCCUCCAUGGAUCAUCUCUUAUGAGCUACGUCUUCCUUGUGUAAAUUGUUAAACUUGAUGUGUCUCUCUCUUUGUCUCCAAUGUGAGUUUAUCUCAGGACUUCCUAGGUCGAUAUUGAAAGUUGUCUACAGGGGUUAGUCCAACAAAAUAUCCAAUAUCUACUAUAGCAUACUAUCGGCUCAAAAAUCAACCUAGACACCAUGUCUAAUUUGAUUUAGGAGGGCAUUUUAACCUAAGCACCAUGCUUAAUUUAAAAUCCCUUGGAAGUAAGAUCAUCAUUCCUAAACUAAGCACCAUGCUUAUUUAAGAGAUAAAUGAAACUUCUCCAAACCUAGACAUAUACUAAAGCAAAUAAAGGUAGCAUGAGAGCAUUUAUAGAGAUCUACUCAAGUGGAGAUGAAGUAGUGUGAUUAGUAUUUAACAAAUUGAGCAUGUCUUAAAGGUAGGGACAACCAACGUAGCAACAUGGCAAAGGAUAUUUUUGUGUAAGGUAUUCCCCCAAGCUUGAAUUUUGCAAAAUUCAAGUUUGGAUGAAUUUAAUUUAGUGUUGCAUAAUGAUUGGCUGGACAUACCUUGUGCUUGUCGUUCAUCCGAUCUUCUUGCUCCAAUCCUGGAAAGGUUAGUGACAAGAAUACCCGAAGGAAUAUUUUUACAAUUAUCCUUAUAUGCUCAAUACACAAUGUAAUGUUGCAAAUAAUUAAAAGCUCAUGUUACGAUCUGAUCAGUGCUUAUUUUAGGACACUAAGCUUGUCCAUGGGAAACCAUCAAUUUAUGUCGGCGAAGUGGUUUCCCUUCCAACGCUGACCUAUAUCAAGAUCAACUCAACGAGAUCUGCAAUAUUUAUUAUAGACAUAUGCGUCGACAACCGCCCUUUUAAAGUUUUUAUAAAUAGAAAGGAAGAGGGGGUUAGAGAUCUCAAAUGUGGUGAUGUUGGAGAGACCAAUAGAUUGGGAAGAUGUUGCAUAUGAGCAUGGAGUAAACGAAGUGGCUAUGAAAUAAAUUCCAUGCUCAUUAAUGUUAUCUUCGUCUGCAAUCUGAAUGUUCGGAGUUUCUCCUGGAUUGGUCUCACCUAUGUCCUCUUCUAUAGUUGGAUGAAUCUCAUCUUCAAAGGGAGUCAAGAACUCACCAUUUGAAAUUGAGCCAAAGUCAGAAUCCAUUAAGGCUUCUUCCUUAUCCAUCCAUUCUACACAUUGUAGCCAUUUAGAACUUGUGAUCAGGAAAGGGGAGGUGUUAGAAUUAUCUAUAUGGCUUAGCUCUCCUUCUAUGACAUUACUUGACAUGUCAUCCUCAUGGUCUUUAUGACUCCUAUGGUUUGAUCGUCUUGAUGGAGUGUUAGGAUCAUCAUGAGACUUAAAAGGAGAGGGAUAAGAGGGGUCUCUAAGGUGAAGGAUGGAUUUAGAAUUUGUGAACAUGGAAGGGGAGCAGAUAGAAUCUUCUAUAUGGUUUAGCUCUCCUUCACUUGAUAUGUCAUCCUCGACUUCUUCAUAAUAGAAACCAGGACAUUCUCUAAGAGAACCAUUAUUGCAAGAAUUUGAAUUAUCCCUGCUUGAAGGUCUCUUAUGGAACCAGGAGUCUAAACCAUCAGUAUCUGAAAGAUUAAAGGUUGGAAUUCCUUCCUCCCUUGGAGAAUUUUGGGGUAUUGAUGGUUUAGGAUCGAUAGGUAAAAUUUGGGAUUGAAGUGGUUGUAAUUUGGCUAUCGAAACUUCUUCUUCUUGUCUAGGAAUUGGUUCUUUCUCUUUCUCAGGGAUAUAAAUGCUAGGAAACUUUCCACUCAAUGAAUCAAUUAAAUCCCAAGCUUCACAAGCAGGUAGGUGAUAGAAGGAUCCUUUAGAGGCUAUAUUCACAGUUUGCUUAUUUUCCCUACUAAGGCCCUCAAAAAAGUGAAUUAGAAGAACUUCUUCUAGAAUAGAAAGCUUUGGGCCAAUGAGAGUAAGGUUAAUAAAGCGGUCCCAUGAUUUGCCAAGAGAUUCUUCUUCCAGUUGUCUAAAAGAAAUAAUCUCACGCCAAAGUUCCGCCACUUUGGAGAUUGGAAAAUAUUUAAGAAGAAAACUAUUAUAUAACUCCUUCCAAUCUCCAUGAACACUCCCUACUUUGAGUUUAUACCAAUGCCUAGCUUUUCCUGUUAAAGAGAACAAAAAGAGCUUCCAUUUAAGGGUCUCAUCGGACAUGCCUUCAAUGCGAAGGAGGUCACAGACUCGAUAAAACUCUCUUAGGUGUGUGUAUGGGUUUUCCUCACCUUCUCCUGAGAAAGGUUCUUUUUGAACAAAUUCUAUGUAUUCGGGGUCUAUCUCAAAACUAGAUGUCCUGAUAGGGUUUGAAGAUUUUGGUGGUUCGAGAUGUGUGCCCGUAGGUCUAUGAAACUGAUAGAUAGACAUGAUUGAAUUCAUGAUAGACCAGAGAUCAAGGAUUAGAUAAGAAAAAAGAAUAGCAGAGAUAAGGCAAAGGAUAAAAGGUAAAAUAUAUAUAUAUAUUUUUAUUUUUUUUAGAAAAUGAUUAAGCUAGUUCGUAGUCAACUCAGCAACCGUUUCCCCAGCAACGGCACCAAAAAUGCUUGUUGACACUUGCUAACACCACUUGAAUACUAGGUUGUCAUCCCUAGCAUGGCACUAGAGUGUACUAUGGUAUUUAUACGCACACAGAUAAAUUCGCAAGCGCACGGAUACCGUUGUAGCUUUUACCCGGUUAAAGGUUUUAUCGUAUCCACAGGGAAACGGGAGAACUGAUCUACGCUCUAACUUAACCUAGAUAGAUAGGUAGGUGUAAAUAGGAAAGAUGGUAGAAUUGAAUAAGAACAAUAUUAAAGGUAAGAUAAUAAUGGGUGAUAAUAUAGGAAUAGAGAAUAGAGCAAUCUAAUAUAUGGGCGAUGGUAGGAGAAUAGAGAGGAUAACUAUGGUUUCUCUACUUCAAAGGGGUAUGUCUAUGUCGGGGGUGAACCACGUGAUAAGAAUACACCACAAAGGAUGCUUAUCCAUAGGCCGAUAAACCCUACCAGUCCUGCUAACGGGAGGUCGACUACGGGGGACCAACAUAACUGUCACCUAUGCGGUCUACCACACGAUCCGGCUAGACAGGGGAUAUCCACAAGUAAUCUAGGUCUAAGCACCACGCUUACACCUAUACUACAACUCUCACCUAUAGCGUCCUAUAGAUUAAUGUACUCAAAAGAGUUUUGAACCAGAACAUACAUGGAUAGUAAUUGCAUAAUGAAAUAGAAGUAGAUUACUAGAGUCAUCCCAUGAGCAUGCUUGAUUAGAGCUUGAUCAUAGCGAAGUACAACCGGAGGAAGAACCGACAGGCCGGCCUCUCCUCCAAUCCUCCCUCGCUCUCCAUCUCGCUACUAUCUAGAUCUACUCUAGUUUAGAGAAGAGAGGAGAGCUCUCAUCUCCAAACCAUAGCUUUUGCUCUAUCUAUGAAUAAUGAAAAAGGUUCAAGGCGUGCCUCCUCCAGGGGCCAGGGAGCCUGCUUAUAUAGUCCCUUCAAGUGAAUCUAGGACAUCAGAUCAAACCGACAUUAAUCGCACGAUUAUCCUUGAUCCUUUAGGUCGGUGGAGCAUGAUCCACGAAGUAUAACGUGAUUGGCCAAAACACUAGGGCGGGCGCCCAAGGGGGGUGGGUGGGCGCCCUGCCCCCAGGCCCGCUCGGUGUCCCGUUCGUUCCCAUGGCUUCUAGAGUCUUCUAGAUGAUAGAAAAUUGUGCGGCACGUUAAUAUCUCUAUGUAAACCUGACGUGUGGGCCUUUCCUCCAUAUUUCCUGAUAACCCCCUGCAGAAAUAGACAAACACCAAAACUCGUGGAAUUUUGUCAGAUAAAACCCUAAGUCUGGGUGUUGGUUGCAUUUGAAUCCUUUUCUCUAUUUAUUUGAACAUUAUAUUUAGUACUUAAGGACCGUCAACAGACACCUAAAUAAAAGCCAUGCUAGCGCUUCAGCAAGCUCAAGUUGGGCAGCACAAACUGCGCAAGCGUGUGUGCAAGCACCACAAAGCCUUUAGUGAUGCACAAGCUGAAAUUCAAAACUACCAUACCGCUUUGCAAGCCCGCCGCAACCAAGUUGAAAAUGCAGUUAGAGAGCGCAAUGAGGCACAAGCGCGCAUGAUGCAAAUGACUAGAGAGCGAGAUGAGGCUAUGCGCUUGACUGAAAAUACAGAGGCUGCCAGAGUUAGAGCUUUGUUCCACGCUGAGAUUAGAGAGGAAGAGCUGAUCCAUAGGAUUGUUGAGCUGCAGUUAGAUGUCCAUCGUCCGAAUAAUCAUAAAUCCUAUUCCACACCCUGUCCCCGUUAAUCACGAAGAGGACCCAGUGAGGAAGAUCAGGAUGAUGGCAUAAUCUCUAAUGGAGAAUCUUGUGAAGAACUCUAGUUCCGCAAUGGUUUCCUUAAUUAUGUAUCAGUUUCUGUCUCUUUAUGUAAUGGACAUGUACUCUGAAUUUCUAGUGAAACUCUAUGUAAUUGGCCAUGAUGCCCUUCUUGUAAGACUAAAUUUGUGAAAAUGACCUUGUGUAACCUUAUGCACCUGUAUGUGAUGCUCCAUGUUUAUGUUGAGCUUAGAUAAUCUCCAGCAAUGUCUUUAAUACUUAUAAAAUGUGGUUGUGAAUGAUCGCAAGAAUAACCAGUGUCGUGGAUUAUGUUCCCUUGUUGUAUAUGGAUUAUUGUGCCUUAUAUGAUGUGAAUUUACUUCAUUAAAUUCCGUAUGGCAUCAAUCAAGAUUCAUGGCAAUUAUAUCUGUUAUCCUAAACGGUCACUUGGUAUGCUCUAUGCAGAUGGCUCGCAACACUCGCUCCGGCCACAAUGAGGUGCCACCACCACCACCUCCUCCCCCGCCUACGCCUGUUGAGCUCCUGGAAACUCUUGUGGAGGGCCAGCAGAUGCUAAAUGAAGCUAUGCAAACCAUGGCACAACAGAACCGGGGUGGUCGCCAUGCCCGCCAAGGCAGAGAAGCGAAUCAAUAUAGCAAUUUCAAAGACUUUCAGGACACCAAGCCAUCGGUUUUCAAGGAGGCCUCUAAACCUCUAGAAGCUGAUGAAUGGCUCAAUACCCUUGAGCAGAAGUUCCGCUUGUUGAGGGUGACCGAAGAACUGAAGGCGGAAUAUGCAGCACACCAGUUGGAAGGCAAAGUAGGUGUCUAGUGGAGCCAUUAUAGGACCAGCUUGCCUGCCAAUGCUGUUGUAACCUGGUAUCAGUUUAAAACUGCUUUCAGGAACACUUCCAUUUCACAGGGCUUAAUGACUAUCAAGCAUACCGAGUUCAUGAACCUUACUCAGGGCACUAAAAGUUUGACUGAGUAUCUUCAUUCUUUCAAUAACUUGUCUUGCUAUGCUACUGAGUUUGUUGAUACUGAGGCCAAGAAGCUUGCUAGUUUCAAGAGAGGACAAGGGCCCAAGCUGUCCAAGAACAUGGCUGGAAACAAGAGUACCACCUUCAAUGAGUUUGUGAGUGAUGCGUUGACCCAGGAAAACUCCAAUGCUGUUUAUGCUGCAUCUAAGAACCAGAAGAGGACCUAUGAAGCGGGUGCUUCGCAGUCCACGGCUCCAGUGACAAGUAAGCCGGCCUAUCACCCACCUAAUGCUGUGACAAGGUACAGGCCGCCGUAGAAAAAGCCCAAUGUGAAGACUGGAGUUUGCAAGUCCUUCACAGUUGCUCUUCCUAGAGGUGCUACAGGUCAAGGGAGCCCCAAAACUCCCCCUGAUAAUCAUCCCUGUUUUAACUGCAAACAAGUUGGUCACUGGGCAAGGGAUUGCCCUUAUCCUAAAAGGACUUCUACAGCUGGGGUUACUACUCAUCCCGGCCGAGUGCACUAUACCACCAUUGAAUAAAUCCCUAAAGGUGAAGCAGUUAUGGCUGGUAUGUUUCUUGUCAAUCAACACCCUGCAGUUGUCUUGUUUGAUUCUGGAGCCUCGCAUUCGUUUAUGAGUCAAGCAUUCGCAUCUAAGCAUGGGCAGCAUGUAGUUGAUCUUGACAAGGGCAAAUUUUGCAUUAGUGCUGUUGGUAAUCAAAUCUCUACAACUCAAUUAGUGAGAGAUGUACAUAUUGCCAUUGAAGGGCGUAGUUUUUCAACACAUCUUGUUAUUCUACCGAGCUUGGGAAUAGAUGUUAUUCUAGGAAUGAAGUGGAAGAGUGACCAUGGAGUGCUAAUAGACACCUCAACAAGGGUAAUCAGGUUGAGGGAGCCUGAUAGUGAAGAAGCUUUCUUAGUCCAACUUCCUAGAAGCGACGACAUCCGUCACGCUGCUAAUGCUAUCAGACCGCUCACUGUGGCAGAGAUUUUGGUAGUGUGUGAGUUUCCGGAUGUCUUUCUAGAGGAUUGGCCCGGGUGCCUCCGGACAAAUAUAUAGAGUUUAAAAUUGAUCUAAUUCCAGGUACCGCACCUAUCUCUAGAAGGCCAUAUCGAAUGCCACCCAAUGAAUUGGCAGAGUUGAAGAAACAAUUGCAAGAACUCCUAGAGAAAGGUCUUAUUCGGCCUAGUUCUUCUCCAUGGGGUUGUCCGGCUCUCUUUGUCGAGAAGAAGGACAAGUCUCUACGUAUGUGUGUAGACUAUCGUCCGCUGAAUGCUGUGACUAUCAAAAACAAGUAUCCCCUGCCUCGCAUUGAUAUUCUAUUUGAUCAAUUAGCUAAGGCUAAGGUAUUCUCGUAGAUUGAUCUGAGGUCCAGGUAUCAUCAAAUCAAGAUCUGACCCAAAGACAUCCCCAAAACGGCUUUCUCUACCAGGUACGGGUUGUAUGAGUAUCUAGUCAUGUCCUUUGGUCUGACUAAUGUCACAGAACCGACCAAAUUAUAAGAGUUCAAGUGCAGAAAUGAUCGCCAAGCAAUCAAGUUUCCAAACUUGAGCCCAUAUAAUCCCGGUAGUCAAUUGAAAUCACGAAGGACUUCAAACCAACUUGCAACAAACCAAGAUCGUAAUAGUCCAACAUAAACACAGCGAAUGUUACAUAGUCAUUCAUUGCUGUCGAUGCGGCACCACAUCGGAGUUAUUAAGUUAUUACAACACAAGUUCGAAGUAGCGGAAGCAAAAUAGUUACACACACUCAUUCGAAGUUCAGUUCACAAGUUUUGGUUAUGGCCAGAGUCUACACCAUCCUUCCAAAAGCAACAGAUACGAAGUUGUUAGAGAACCGUGCCCAACGGUUAGUCCUCAUCCCUAGCGGGAUGGAGACAGGUCUUGCAGAAGCCGUCAUAAAAGAUGUCAUCUGCAACAGGUGGGAAUAAACCCUGAGUACGAGAAUGUACUCAGCUAGACUUACCCGUCUAGUACAACAUAAAAGACACCAAGGAUCAUGCAAGGCUAAAUAUCAAGUGGAGCUGGUUGACUCAUCUUUUGCCAAAAGCUUAACUUACAACUAAGUUAUUUUGAGAGCAUCAUAUUUAUUUAUUAUCAGUCUACCACUAGAUUAGCACCUGUACUACAACACAUCACUUGAUUAUUACAAACUAUAAUAGCCAUAUCAAAUUCAUCAUAUGUUCUUCUUGCUAUCAUCAUUAUCAUGAACCAAAUUCAUUAGUGAGUGCUACGUUUGCCGCUGCUCUAUCAAGUUCUCACUAACCGGGAGAGACGGCGAUUCGAAUCGAAUUCCUAUCCAGCUGGAGGGUUAUUCCUAGCACUCACCCAUGCAUCCCCUGCCGGAGAGCCAACGGGUCACCUUUGGUACAACUCAGGAAUCGCGGCUCCGAUCAGCGCCGCACUCCCAGGGCUACCACUCUGCCAGGGAGGUCAGGAAUUUUAACUCACCUGCCUUUGGACUUACGCCAAUGGUCCCCCGCACACCGCACUUCCUCCGGUAGUGCGCACUUUAUACUUGCCGGUCUUCCGGCCUGAGUCAGACUACUCGGCUUCGCGGUCGGAACGAGUUAUCCGGCCAACUAAGUGUUAGGCAUGCGUUCAACAUGACAAGAGGACGUACAACGAUCGGUCCUUAGCUGCCACAGACGGAGUUACUACAAACUUGCAAAACUCCGCCCGGCUUAAGUCAAUUUAAUCAGGUUCUAUCCACGAUAGCACAUAUAGACCAUCGUGAUCCGACAUAACCCUAUAUCGCGCAGGUGACAGGAUAUCACCCGACUUCUACCGAUUAAAGCAUGGCUAGGCCGCUACUCGAUCCUAACUCUACAACCAGGGUAGGAUGAAUUAUCUGGACAAGGAUGGAAUAAAGUGCAGCAAAAGUUUCAUCACAACUCCUAUACGUAAUGCAUCAAUAGAUAUAACAUAUUAAGUAAACUUUCGAAAAUAAAGGGAGACUUAGAAUGCUUCGGGGCUUGCCUUUCACGAACGACACUGGCUCGUGAUUCGGGCACUCAACUUCUUCUUCGGGCUCUUCGAGUCCGGCUUGCUGAACCUCCACCUCUUGGCUGCCCUCCUGACCGUCGGGAUUCACUUGCAGCUCGUAGGAGGCUGUCGCGUCCGAUGCACCUAUUGCAUGCUCGAACGAUAAGAAGAUGCACAUGCUAAAGAUGAAUACUUGAUAACAUAAGUAACUCACUGGACACUCAUUUACGGAGCAAAAGUUAUACAAGCUCACACAAGUAAAUAAGUUACCUUAGCCCAAAACCUAUCAUGAUACUAAAACAGCAAGCAACACCAAACAAGAGUAACCUGGUAAAUAAAUCAUAACUAAUGAUAGACAGAUCCAACAAACAUAAAUAAAGACAUUCUGGAAAGCUUAUGAAAUUGUCUACAAAUCCUCUUUAAACAUCACAGCAUGAUUCAUAAAUUAAACCAGUCAUUUAAACAAGGUUCCAGGUUCUGUCCCAGAAAAACAGAGAGCACCUAUUUCUGGAACCCAACUUGGAACAGCCAUAACUUUUAAACUAUUGGACUAAAUGAUCCCAAAUUUAAACCACAGCUAGUUCAAUAAGUUUACUACAACUUUGAUUUAGACAAGUUGCCCAUAAAACCAAAUUAUCAUUAAGCAAAAGUUAAAUUGCUCCCUUGCUGUCCAGAACAGCCUUUAACCCUAUAAUUAAUUAUUUAAUAACAUGACCAAAACACAAACCAUGCCAACUACACGGCUUAGGAGCACAAGCAUAUCACAAGGUUACCAGAAUACCACAUGAAAACCCCCAAACAUUUACUUAACAAGGCAUUUAUUAAUUAAUUCUAGAAAAGAGCAUAAUUACAAGAUGCUUAGUCAAGGUGCUCAGAAAAAUCUACAAAAAUUACAGAAGUACAAGGAUAGCAUCCAAGCAUCACUAGAAAAAUUUCACAGCAAAAGCACAUAGUAAAUUAAAGAUAUGUAUUUAACAUGUAACUAGGUGUUUAUUUCAUAAAUUCAGAAACAUGACUUAUAUGGUACCAAACAACAGAUUUCAGAUUAUUUAUACCUUAGGAAUACCAUAAACAUGUUUACUACCAAAGUAGAACACCAGCAUAAGCACCAAUUAUUUUAUAUAAUUUAAUUAAAGAAACAAGCCAAAUUUCAAUCAUAACAUACAUAUCAAAUCUGCAGUACUCCAAAAAUCAUGAAAUAUUUACCACAGCACUAUAAUACCAUACAGAGACUACCAUAAAAUUUUCAUGGCAAAGUAAACAGUAUAACAAGAUAUAUGAAUUUAUCCAUGAAUAACAAUAUUAAAUCCUUAAUAAAUAUUUUCCCAGAAAACAUGGUUCAUUUUAUAUUUUUAUUAAAAACUAGCCAUCUCAAGGAAUACCACAAAAUUUCUUUCACAAUUUUUGGAUCUCAGAAACAGGAGAUAUGAUUUUUGCAAGAAAGCCAAAAAUCAGGAUUUUGAAUAAAAGAAAAGGAGGGAAGGAGAGUGACGCUGACAGUGGACCCCGCCUGUCAGGGUCAUCGUCUUCACAGCCGAUGCGACUCUCGCCGGCGAUUUCUCCGCGACGGCGAGGUCUUCGGCCAAACCAAGGGCAUCAGCAUGAUCCCCAAACCCUAGCGACUCGAUUGACCCCCUUUUUCCCACGGCGGAGCCACCGGAAGGGGCUCGCCGUCGACGAUGGCGGCUCGGCGGAGGUGCUCGGCGUUACGCCGGAGCCCUCAGGCCGGUAGAGCGCGACCUAAGGCCUUCUACAGCACCAGCGGACUACGGCGAAGCUUCCUAGGUACGCAGCUAGGCUUGAAUCCUCGUGGAACACGCUGGCCACGAGAGCACCCAUCUCCGGCGGAAGCACGGCGGCGCUGCGCACCGUGUCCGGCGACGGAGAGCUUGGUAGAGCGUCCACCAAGUGGCGCAAAAGCUCGCUAAGAACCUAAGCAACCUCUAGGAUCUAACCAAAGACGACGAGAGGCUUCACAGGGUUCGGCAUUGGGCUCGCCGGAAAAGAUGGUCACGGCGACCCGAUUUGGGGGAAGAAGGAAAUGUCGGCUCACCGGUGGUUUUCUCGGCGAGUUAGAGGGUGGAGAAUGGAGAGCGGUUCACGGCGGAGCUGUGGGUGGAGUUUGGUGAGCAAAGGUGCAGCAAGGAGCGCGCGCGAGCUCGCCGGAGUAGGCUCGCGAAGGAGAGCUCCCAGCGGCCGCGUUUCUGGCGAGAAAGGGCGAGGGAGAGCGAAGUGGACGCGUCCACUCUGCGCGGGGCGCCGCCGUGAAGGUCAUGCACGCGAAGAGAGCUGACAAGCGGGGCCAGGAACGGCGUACGGGCGCCAAAUGUCGACGGAGCUCUGCCGCCGGUUGGCCACGUCGACGAGCGCGGUUUUGAUUCAGAAGAAACGAUGACAGUGUGACAGAGCAACUUCACCGAUGAUUAUCUCCCAAACCAGUCCGAGUUAGAAGAUGAUGCAGUUGACAAAGUUGGAGUUCCAAUCGAGAUCUACGACUUUGUCAACUAGAGCAAAGGCCAGAUCGGCCGGGAUUGAGAGAUAUAGAGUUUCCAAAAUCGAUCGAGCAAACUGGUUUCGUUCCAAGACUUAGAAAUUUUUCUAAGUGUUGGAAACAGCCCCAAAUCUGCCUUGUGGGCCACUUUUGAGCUAUUUGUGAUCAUUUUCAUGAGAUGGCCAUAAAACAACUUUUGUUCCUUAUAAAAUUUUCUACAACUUUGGUGUAGGAAGUUUUGACAUGCAAACAUUUUAUGAAACACUUUUUAAAAGCCUAAGCAAAAGAGGUUUCUAGGGCCUAUUUGCACAAGUAUGACUUAAGUGAUUAUUUUGAGGAAGUGAUCAACAUGAACAUUGUUCCCAAGGUUAAGUUAAGCAUAGAUAAACUAAUUACCAAAGCAUUGAGCACAAACACAAGCAUGGUUCACUCAAACAUAAGCAUAGGAAGCCUAUUUAAGCAAUUUAAAACACAUUUUUGCAUAGAAUGACAUGGCUCAAGAGAGAUGAUGAUCAUGAUAUGCUUUGAGUAGAUGAUGAUGCUCAUGAUAUGCACAUGAUUGAUGCAACCAUAACACUGGGGUGUUACAGCCCUCCCCCCUUACAAAAAUCUCGUCCCGAGAUUUGAAAGCUUACUGAUUUUCGAAGAAUGUUUUGUAAACUUCUUUUAAAUAAUCCUCCGUCUCCCAAGUGGCAUCUUCCUCCCCAUGGUUACUCCACAACACUUUGUAGAGUUUAACCACAUGAUUACGCGUCUCCCGUUCCUUGCGAUCCAGAAUCGCUACGGGUUUCUCCUCAUACACAAAGUCUGACUUCAACUUGAUAUCUCGAACUUCCACUCGUUCCUCGGUACACGAAGGCACUUCUUCAAUUGUGAUACGUGGAAGACAGGGAAAAUAGCUCGAAGCGCAAUGGGAGUUGAACUUUGUACGCCACAUUCCCUUUCUUUUCGAGAAUCCGAUAAGGUCCCACAUAGCGAGGUGCAAGAUUUCGCUUGACUCCGAACCUUUGUACACCCUUCAUCGGAGACACCUUGAUAUACACAUGAUCGCCAACUGAAAACUCAAUCGGCUUCCUUCUUUUGUCAGCAUAACUUUUCUGACGAGCUUGAGCAGCUUCUAGGUGUUGUUGGAUGGUACGGACUUUCUGCUCUGCUUCGUUCACGAAAUCGAUGCCAUAAUAUCUUCGUUCUCCGGCUUCUACCCAAUUCAACGGGGUUCGACACUUUUGACCAUACAGGGCUACAAAUGGAGCCAUCUUGAUACUCUCCUGAUAACUAUUGUUGUAGGAGAACUCAGCCAAUGGCAACCACUUAACCCAAGAGCCUUUUGAAGAGAGAGCACAUGCCCUCAACAUGUCUUCAAGGAUUUGGUUAACUCGUUCAGUUUGACCAGCCGUUUGGGGAUGAUAAGCAGAGCUACGGACUAAAUGAGUACCAAUUUGCUCAUGCAGACAUUCCCAAAAACGAGCAGUGAACUGGGGUCCACGAUCUGAUAUAAUUGUUCGAGGCACACCAUAUUGACGAACAAUGUGCUCGGAAUACAAUUCUGCAUACUGAUGUGGACGAUAGUCAGUUCGAACUGGAAUAAAUCGAGCAACCUUGGUCAAACGAUCUACAAUUACCCAGAUGGAGUCGUAACCCUUAACAGAAAUUGGGAGUCCACUGAUGAAAUCCAUGCUGACUUCUUCCCAUUUCCAACCAGGAAUUGACAAGGGUUGAAGCAAACUAGCUUUCAUGUGAAUAGCCUUCACUCGACAACAAUUGUCACAACGAGCGACAAAAGCAGCGAUCUCCUUCUUCAUCUUUGUCCACCAAAACAAAGGUUUCAGAUCCUGAUACAUCUUGCUACUACCAGGAUGGAUAGACAAUUUGGAUGAAUGAGCUUCAGAUAAGAUCUGAUUUCGCAGCUCGCGGUCUUUAGGAACCACAAGUCGAUCCUUGAACCAAAGAAUUCUGUUCUCAUCGACCCGGAAAUGCUUGGUUUCUUCUUCCUUCAUUUUCUUCUUUAUAUGGUGGAUGCCUACAUCUGUCUGCUGCAAUUCGAUGACUCGAUUGCGAAUGGUACUUUCUAGAGAAAUCUGGUUGAGCACAAGUGGAUGCAUAAGAUGUGACAACAACGGGUCUUCCACUUGGAUUGAGUGACAGUGCGCUUUCCGACUCAAGGCGUCCGCCACCACGUUUGCUUUGCCCGGAUGGUAGUGCACUUGAAGAUUAUAAUCUUUAAUCAACUCAAGCCACCUUAGCUGUCGCAUGUUCAGUUCAGGUUGAGUGAAGAUAUACUUGAGGCUCUUAUGAUCGGUGUAGAUAUUACACAGAUUACCCAGCAGAUAAUGCCUCUAGAUUUUUAAAGCAUGAACAACUGUUGCCAAUUCUAAGUCAUGAGUAGGGUAAUUGACCUCAUGCUUUCGAAGUUGGCGUGAGGCAUACGCGAUAACACGACCUUCUUGCAUCAACACACAGCCUAAACCAAUACCUGACGCGUCACAAAAGACAUCGAAAGGUUUCUCAAUAUCAGGCUGAGCUAGAACCGAAGCUGAAGUCUGCAACGUCCUCAACUUGUGGAAUGCUUCUUCACACUCAGGCGUCCACACAAACUUCUCAUCUUUCUGAAGUAGACGAGUCAUAUCUUUGAGAAUUUGGGAAUGAAUCGACGGUAAUACCCAGCAAGACCGAGAAAACUCCGAACCUCGUGUACCGAAGUUGGAACUUUCCAAUCCAGCACUUCUUGCACCUUAGUCGGAUCCACUGAUAUGCCUUCUUCAGAUAAGACAUGGCCCAAGAAAGGUAAAUUCUUCAGCCAAAACUCGCAUUUGCUAAACUUGGCAUAAAGCUGAUGUUCGCGCAAACGCGACAACACUACACGCAGAUGCUCUGCAUGCUCCUCUUCAUUGCAGGAAUAUACCAAGAUAUCAUCAAUGAAGACCACCACAAACUUGUCCAAUUCGGGCAUGAACACCGAAUUCAUGAGAUACAUGAAGUGAGCAGGUGCAUUUGUAAGACCGAAGGACAUGACAAGGUACUCAUACAACCCAUACCUCGUCGAGAAAGCUGUCUUAGGUACAUCUUCAGGACGGAUCUUGAUCUGAUGGUACCCGGAUCGCAAAUCAAUCUUGGAGAAUACUUGGCUUUAGAAAACUGAUCAAACAAGAUAUCAAUGCGAGGAAGAGGAUAUUUAUUCUUGAUGGUCACCGCAUUUAGGGGACGAUAGUCCACACACAUGCGCAAAGAUUGAUCCUUCUUCUUCACAAAGAUAGCUGGACAACCUUAAGGAGAAGAACUAGGACGAAUAAGACCCUUCUUCAACAACUCAUUUAGUUGGGUCUUAAGCGCAACUAAUUCAUUGGGUGGCAUUCUAUAAGGCCUUCUAGAGAUGGGAGCGGUACCUGGAAUCAAUUCAAUUUUGAACUCCACAUCCCGAUCCGGAGGAAGCCCGGGUAGAUCAUCAGGAAAAACAUCCGGAAACUCACACACCACCGGAAUAUACUGAAUAGCCUUAGAUGUAACUGCAUUCACAGUGUUACAGAUUUGAAUAUCCCGAGGAAGUUGCACUAGAAAUGCCUCCUUGGUGUUUGGGUCUUUCAACAUCACUACACGAGUGGUGGUGUCGAUAAGAACUCCAUUGCCACUCAUCCACUUCAUCCCCAGAAUUACAUCUAUGCCCACACCGGGUAGAACAACCAAAUCAGCAAGAAACUGAUGGCCUCCUAUUUCCAGAGUUGCCCCCAAAACCACUUGAUUGGUGGAAAUAUCAUUUCUCGCAGCACUAAUGCAAUAACUGCCCUUAUCAAGUGUAAUGGCCUUGAUGCUAUGCUUAGACACAAAUUCAGAACUCACAAAAGAAUGCGAUGCUGCAGAAUCAAAAAGCACGAGUGCAUCAUGUUGAUUAACCAGAAACUUACCAGCCGUGACUACCUCACCAGCAGGGAUUGCUUCCACAGUUGUGUAGUGAACACGCCCUUGACGGACGUUCCCUUGGUUGCCCUUCUUCGGCGGGUAAGGACAGUUGCUCUGCCAAUGCCCGGUCUGAUUGCAGUUCCAGCAUGGACGGUUGGCAGGCGGAGUCUUGGCAUAGUUGGGACCCGUGUUGCCCCUAGGGAGAGCAAUAGAAUACCCCUUGCGAAAACCUGUCUUUGCCUGAUUCUUCUUCACCGGAGGGCGGUAUCGCUGGUUCGGUGUUGGAGCACGGAACGGUGGCUUAGCUGCCACUAGAGCCUUGGACUGAUAAGAUGACCCGGCCCCGGCCUCAAAAGCCCUCUUGCGAGUCUUGGUCGCAGUGUACACAGUGUUAUAGUUCUCUUGAGUGAGAGCAUCAAUGACAAACUCAUUGAAAGUUGCACACUUAGUGCGGCCCAUAGUCUUCAGCAAUUUGGGGCCCAAACCCCGCUUGAAACUAGCAAUCUUUUUCGUCUUCGUGUUCACAAACUCAGGAGCAUAUCUAGACAAAGGAUUGAAAGCAUGCAAAUACUCCUUCAAAGUCUUGUUGCCCUGAGUUAACUACAUGAACUCGGUAUGCUUCAUCUCCAUGACACCAGGAGGAAUGAAAUGCCCUUUAAAAGCAUCACGGAAAAGAUUCCAAUCAAGCACAGUGUCGGCUGGAAGAGCUUCCCGAUACUGAUUCCACCAGAUGCCUGCUGGGCCCUGCAGUUGAUGAGCUGCAUACUAUGCCUUCAAACCUUCAGUCAACCGAAGCAAGCGGAACUUUUGUUCCACCGUGUUCAGCCAUUCUUUAGCUUGAAGGGGUUCUUCAGCUUCUGUGAAAGGUGGGGGCUUUGUGUCCAUGAAGUCCUUGAAGCUACUAUACUGGUUGGGAGGUGGCCCUUCCUGUGCAUUACGACCACCCUGAUUUGCCAUCCGAUUGAUGGUCUCAGUGAGCAUCCUCUGAUUUUCCACCAUCAUUUGCAUUAACUCAGCAGGAUUCGGUGGUGGAGGAGGAGGUGGUGGAUUCAUGUUUGCACGCUGUUCCGCACCUCGGGUGCCACGAGACAUCUGUAAAGACACAGUCAGUGAGUAUUGAUGAUGACAAGAUUUGCCGUAGAAGAACUUGUAUUUAUGCCUGAAAGUAUUCGAGAGAAUAGCUUUACAGAAAAGGCACAAUAAUUCAAUUCCACAAAACAACAUCACCAAUCCAACACAUGACAGAGAUAUCCACAAUAUGCACCACAACGGAAAACAUCGUCAUAACAUAACAAACAUGUUAAGAUUGCACAUUGGGUCCACAAAGUUAUUACACCACCUCAGUACAUGCCAUGAGUCACGGUCAAAGCUCCGGAUUACAACAUGGUUACAAAAGCACCACGGCUGACUAGCAUACUGCAAAAGAUCCUCACAAAACACUACUCACUACUCCCUACACUCCAGGCUCGUCGUCCGAGUCAGCGUCGAAGAUCGCCUCUCCAUCCUCGUCGCUAACCGGCUCAAGCUCCUCGUCCUCCACGUCCUCGUGCAAAGGUGGUGCAGCCGCUGCUGGUCCAUCAACCUCCAUACCAUCAUCAUCGGCCACAAUCACCUGAGGUCCCACCUCUGGAUACAUGGGUAUAGGGCGAGGAAUAGGGUGUAGCAAGUUGUUGAGACGGUGAAUCUCCACAAGACCAGCCUCAAUCUGAUCCUGCAGAUAGUUCUCCCGCUCAAGCGACUGAACUCGGUGCAUCUCCCAUGCUUGGCGCCUGUUCUCCGACACACGGAGUGCAGUAUCCCUCUCACGAGUGAGCUACACCAAGCGCUCCUGUAAGGUCUCCCUCUCUCUAGCUAACUGGCUCAUCUGAUCCUGCUUAUGAUCUCUCUCUCUAAUGGCCUUCACCCACUGCUGCCUACGGUACUCCGCAAUGUCCUCCCAGUCAUUGCGGUCCUUCUGAGCUUGCUCCAGGAGUCUAGCUUGCUUGCGAAACUUGCGAGCACGCUUUUCAGCCUUCCGCUGCGCCUCCUGAGCCCUGCGAACAGCCACCAUCACCUGUGCAUAGGUGCCCUCUCGCUGUCUAAUCAGCUUGAGCACCGCCAUCAUAGCACUCAUAGCAGGACUAGAACUCUCCGCUCUCUCUCCCCUGCCUCGAACCAAAGCACAACCGUCAGCCUAUUUCCACUCCGCUGCUGCUGGGUCAGCACUGGGGAUGGAGGCCGCUAGUCCUCCCGUCAGCUCAUCACCACACCUCUGACAGAUAUCGAGCAGGAUAGUCUGGGCUGCAACCUGAGCUGCCUCCCAAGGAGUUUGCCCAUCUGAGCUACAAGUCCAGCCUGUCCAUGCAGGCUUGUCCCCAUGGGGAGGGACAACUCCCUGCACAGCAAACCACUGAAUCCCUCCUGUGCUCUCCAUCUCCCACCAAGAAUACUGAGGUGGCUCAGUAUACCCAACAGUCCGUAACACUCUCCAGAGCAGGGUAGGAGUGCCAAACUCGUGCAAGAAAGUGUCACUGGGACGGGGUGAAGCGGGUGCGUCCAUCUGUGGAAAGGAAUAGGAAUACCAUGGGUAAAAGAGGAUUAGUUUAAGCAACAUUUAUUUAAUUAAAAGGGACGACAUUGUAAGGGAAAGAGUCGACAGAAUGUAUGUAUGAAUGCGACAUGAUGCAUGCACGAACCGUACGUCCUCACAAACUAAGAAAAUUAAUAUUCUAACGGAUAUACGGUGGCAUACAUUCGUCUCUCGAUACGAUAACUAUCGGUUUACACGUGCGCUGUUAGAGUACCUGCAGAAAACUUCAUUCCAGCCCAACAGUUCCCAAUAAAUCACUCAAGAAAGCAGUAAACUAAGUGCACAUUGCUUGGACAUGCCCAACAUGCACAAACAAUGACACCACAGCUACCCAAGAAAUUAAAUGGUCCCCAAUUAAGUUUCUUUCGUGGUUCCAUGGUUUCGACAUGUAACCACUCCAGAAAACCACCGCGAUCACUCCCCUAGACCGCCGUUUGGACGAUCAUGCUCUCACAGCUCACACUUACCAGGGCGUAGGUGCGACGUUGCAUGAUUUAAAUCUAGCGACAUAUGUGGCUAAUUCACAUAUGAAGGCUACCUCCACCAGUAGACCACAGGGUAGCAUAGUGCGGUCAUCACACAUCCAUACCUGAGUACUGCCGGAGAUGCAUAAAUAAAACCCCCAAGUCAGUACUUAAUAGCCACCUAGAGUCCUUAUGUGGGCAAGGAGGAUUCGACCAAUGGCAUAACCUAAUUAUUUAUUUUACACCAUUUUAUUUAAAAACUCUUUUGUUUUAAAUACACAAACGCUGCAUUUAUAAUACUGAACUUGCUCCGAUGCCAGCUGUCACAGAACUGACCAAAUUAUAAGAGUUCAAGUGCAGAAACGAUCGCCAAGCAAUCAAGUUUCCAAACUUGAGCCCAUAUAAUCCCGGUAGUCAAUUGAAAUCACGAAGGACUUCAAACCAACUUGCAACAAACCAAGAUCGUAAUAGUCCAACAUAAACACAGCGAAUGUUACAUAGUCAUUCAUUGCCGUCGAUGCGGCACCACAUCGGAGUUAUUAAGUUAUUACAACACAAGUUCGAAGUAGCGGAAGCAAAAUAGUUACACACACUCGUUCAAAGUUCAGUUCACAAGUUUUGGUUAUGGCCAGAGUCUACACCAUCCUUCCAAAAGCAUCAGAUACAAAGUUGUUAGAGAACCGUGCCUAACGGUUAGUCCUCAUCCCCAGCGGGAUGGAGACAGGUCUUGCAGAAGCCGUCAUAAAAGAUGUCAUCUGCAACAGGUGGGAAUAAACCCUGAGUACAAGAAUGUACUAAGCUAGACUUACCCGUCUAGUACAACAUAAAAGACACCGAGGAUCAUGCAAGGCUAAAUAUCAAGUGGAGCUGGUUGACUCAUCUUUUGCCAAAAGCUUAACUUACAACUAAGUUAUUUUGAGAGCAUCAUAUUUAUUUAUUAUCAGUCUACAACUAGAUUAGCACCUGUACUACAACACAUCACUUGAUUAUUAAAAACAAUAAUAACCAUAUCAAAUUCAUCAUAUGUUUCUUCUUGCUAUCAUUAUUAUCAUGAACCAAAUUCAUUAGUGAGUGCUACGUUUGUCGCUGCUCUGUCAAGUUCUCACUAACCGGGAGAGACGGCGAUUCGAAUCGAAUUCCUAUCCAGCUGGAGGGUUAUUCCUAGCACUCACCCAAGCAUCCCCUGCCGGAGAGCCAACGGGUCACCUUUGGUACAACUCAGGAAUCGCGGCUCCGAUCAGCGCCGCACUCCCAGGGCUACCACUCUGCCAGGGAGGUCAGGAAUUUUAACUCACUUGCCUUUGGACUUACGCGAAUGGUCCCCCGCACACCGCACUUCCUCCGGUAGUGCGCACUUUAUACUUGCCGGUCUUCCGGCCUGAGUCAGACUACUCGGCUUCGCGGUCGGAACGAGUUAUCCGGCCAACUAAGUGACAAGAGGACGUACAACGAUCGGUCCUUAGCUGCCACAGACGGAGUUACUACAAACUUGCAAAACUCCGCCCGGCUUAAGUCAAUUUAAUCAGGUUCCAUCCACGAUAGCACAUAUAGACCAUCGUGAUCCGACAUAACCCUAUAUCGCGCAGGUGACAGGAUAUCACCCGACUUCUACCGAUUAAAGCAUGGCUAGGCCGCUACUCGAUCCUAACUCUACAACCAGGGUAGGAUGAAUUAUCUGGACAAGGAUGGAAUAAAGUGCAGCAAAAGUUUCAUCACAACUCCUAUACGUAAUGCAUCAAUAGAUAUAACAUAUUAAGUAAACUUUCGAAAAAAAAGGGAGACUUAGAAUGCUCCGGGGCUUGCCUUUCACGAACGACGCCGGCUCGUGAUUCGGGCACUCAACUUCUUCUUCGGGCUCUUCGAGUCCGGCUUGCUGAACCUCCACCUCUUGGCUGCCCUCCUGACCGUCGGGAUUCACUUGCAGCUCGUAGGAGGCUGUCGCGUCCGAUGCACCUAUUGCAUGCUCGAACGAUAAGAAGAUGCAAAUGCUAAAGAUGAAUACUUGAUAACAUAAGUAACUCACUGGACACUCAUUUACGGAGCAAAAGUUAUACAAGCUCACACAAGUAAAUAAGUUACCUUAGCCCAAAACCUAUCAUGAUACUAAAACAGCAAGCAACACCAAACAAGAGUAACCUGGUAAAUAAAUCAUAACUAAUGAUAGACAGAUCCAACAAAAAUAAAUAAAGACAUUCUGGAAAGCUUAUGAAAUUGUCUACAAAUCCUCUUUAAACAUCACAGCAUGAUUCAUAUAUUAAACCAGUCAUUUAAACAAGGUUCCAGGUUCUGUCCCAGAAAAACAGAGAGCACCUAUUUCUGGAACCCAACUUGGAACAGCCAUAACUUUUAAACUAUUGGACUAAAUGAUCCCAAAUUUAAACCACAGCUAGUUCAAUAAGUUUACUACAACUUUGAUUUAGACAAGUUGCCCAUAAAACCAAAUUAUCAUUAAGCAAAAGUUAAAUUGCUCCCUUGCUGUCCAGAACAGCCUUUAACCCUAUAAUUAAUUAUUUAAUAACAUGACCAAAACACAAACCAUGCCAACUACAAGGCUUAGGAGCACAAGCAUAUCACAAGGUUACCAGAAUACCACAUGAAAACCCCCAAACAUUUACUUAACAAGGCAUUUAUUAAUUAAUUCUAGAAAAGAGCAUAAUUACAAGAUGCUUAGUCAAGGUGCUCAGAAAAAUCUACAAAAAUUACAGAAGUACAAGGAUAGCAUCCAAGCAUCACUAUAAAAAUUUCACAGCAAAAGCACAUACUAAAUUAAAGAUAUGUAUUUAACAUGUAACUAGGUGUUUAUUUCAUAAAUUCAGAAACAUGACUUAUAUGGUACCAAACAACAGAUUUCAGAUUAUUUAUACCUUAGGAAUACCAUAAACAUGUUUACUACCAACGUAGAACACCAGCAUAAGCACCAAUUAUUUUAUAUAAUUUAAUUAAUGAAACAAGCCAAAUUUCAAUCAUAACAUACAUAUUAAAUCUGCAGUACUCCAAAAAUCAUGAAAUAUUUACCACAGCACUAUAAUACCAUACAGAGACUACCAUAAAAUUUUCAUGGCAAAGUAAACAGUAUAACAAGAUAUAUGAAUUUCUCCAUGAAUAACAAGAUUAAAUCCUUAAUAAAUAUUUUCCGAGAAAACAUGGUUCAUUUUAUAUUUUUAUUAAAAACUAGCCAUCUCAAGGAAUACCACAAAGUUUGUUUCACAAUUUUUGGAUCUCAGAAACAGGAGAUAUGAUUUUUGCAAGAAAGCCAAAAAUCAGGAUUUUGAAUAAAAGAAAAGGAGGGAAGGAGAGUGACGCUGACAGUGGACCCCGCCUGUCAGGGUCAUCGUCCUCACGGCCGAUGCGACUCUCGCCGGCGAUUUCUCCACGACGGCGAGGUCUUCGGCCAAACCAAGGGCAUCAGCGUGAUCCCCAAACCCUAGCAACUCGAUUGACCCCCUUUUUCCCACGGCGGAGCCACCGGAAGGGGCACGCCGUCGACGAUGGCGGCUCGGCGGAGGUGCUCGGCGUUACACCGGAGCCCUCAGGCCGGUAGAGCGCGACCUAAGGCCUUCUACAGCACCAGCGGACUACCGCGAAGCUUCCUAGGUACGCAGCUAGGCUUGGAUCCUCGUGGAACACGCUGGCCACGAGAGCACCCAUCUCCGGCGGAAGCACAGCGGCGCUGCGCACCGUGUCCGGCGACGGAGAGCUUGGUAGAGCGUCCACCAUGUGGCGCAAAAGCUCGCUAAGAACCUAAGCAACCUCUAGGAUCUAACCAAAGACGACGAGAGGCUUCACAGGAUUCGGCAUUGGGCUCGCCGGAAAAGAUGGUCACGGCGACCCGAUUUGGGGGAAGAAGGAAAUGUCGGCUCACCGGUGGUUUUCUCGGCGAGUUAGAGGGUGGAGAAUGGAGAGCGGUUUACGGCGGAGCUGUGGGUGGAGUUUGGUGAGCAAAGGCGCAGCAAGGAGCGUGCGCGAGCUCGCCGGAGUAGGCUCGCGAAGGAGAGCUCCCGGCGGCCGCGUUUCUAGCGAGAAAGGGCGAGGCAGAGCGAAGUGGACGCGUCCACUCUGCGCGGGGCGCCGCCGUGGAUGUCAUGCACGCGAAGAGAGCUGACAAGCGGGGCCAGGAACGGCGUACGGGCGCCAAAUGUCGACGGAGCUCUGCCGCCGGUUGGCCACGUCGACGAGCUCGGUUUCGAUUUAGAAGAAACGAUGACAGUCUGACAGAGCAACUUCACCGAUGAUUAUCUCCCAAACCAGCCCGAGUUAGAAGAUGAUGCAGUUGACAAAGUUGGAGUUCCAAUCGAGAUCUAUGACUUUGUCAACUAGAGCAAAGGCCAGAUCGGCCGUGAUUGAGAGAUAUAGAGUUUCCAAAAUCGAUCGAGCAAACUGGUUUUGUUCCACGACUUAAAAAUUUUUCUAAGUGUUGGAAACAGCCCGAAAUCUGCCUUGUGGGCCACUUUUGAGCUAUUUUUGAUCAUUUUCAUGAGAUGGCCAUAAAACAACUUUUGUUCCUUAUAAAAUUUUCUACAACUUUGCUGUAGGAAGUUUUGACAUGCAAACAUUUUAUGAAACACUUUUUAAAAGCCUAAGCAAAAGAGGUUUCUAGGGCCUAUUUGCACAAGUAUGACUUAAGUGAUUAUUUUGAGGAAGUGAUCAACAUGAACAUUGUUCCCAAGGUUAUGUUAAGAAUAGAUAAACUAAUUACCAAAGCAUUGAGCACAAACACAAGCAUGGUUCACUCAAACAUAAGCAUAGGAAGCCUAUUUAAGUAAUUUAAAACACAUUUUUGCAUAGAAUGACAUGGCUCAAGAGAGAUGAUGAUCAUGAUAUGCUUUGAGUAGAUGAUGAUGCUCAUGCUAUGCACAUGAUUGAUGCAACCAUAACACUGGGGUGUUACAACUAAUGCCCCUGCUCAUUUCAUGUACCUGAUGAAUUCGGUGUUCAUGCCUGAACUGGAUAAGUUUGUGGUGGUGUUCAUCGAUGACAUCCUGGUGUAUUCUGAAAAUGCCCAAGACCAUGAGAAGCACCUUCGGAUUGUACUCAAUAGAUUGCGAGAACAUCAGCUUUAUGCCAAGUUCAGUAAGUGUGAGUUUUGGCUGAAGAAAGUGCCUUUCCUAGGCCAUAUUUUAUCCGAAGACGGUAUUUCUAUUGACCCGUCAAAGGUGGAGGAGGUUCUAGACUAGAAGGCCCCGACUUCAGUACAUGAGGUUCGGAGUUUUCUCGGUCUAGCUGGAUAUUAUCGUCGCUUUAUUCCAGACUUGUCCAAAAUAGCUAAGCCUAUGACCAAGCUACUACAGAAAGAUGUGAAGUUUGUAUGGUCUCAGGAGUGUGAAGUCGCUUUCACCGCUUUGCGCCAUUUGCUGACCACUGCUUCUGUUCUGGCACAGCCUGACAUUGAAAAGCCAUUUGAUGUCUUUUGUGAUUCAUCUGGCACUGGCUUAGGCUGCAUACUUAUGCAAGAAGGCUGAGUCAUUGCCUAUGCCUCUCGGCAGCUGAUGAAGCAUGAAGCUAACUACCCGACUCAUAUCUAGAGUUAGCAUUGAAACUCUAGGGGCAUUAUCUGUUGGGUAAUCUGUGUCACAUUUAUACUGACCAUAAGAGCCUCAAAUAUAUCUUCACCUAGCCUGAGUUAAACAUAAGACAAAGAAGAUGGUUGGAGUUGAUCAAAUAUUAUAAUUUUGAAGUGCACUAUCAUCCCAGCAAAGCCAAUGUUGUAGCCGACGCUCAUAGCCGGAAACAACAUGUUUGACCUCUCUUAGAGGAAGGUUUCAAUCUAUUGCCUCCUGUGGUUCUACACAAUAUUGUAGUCAGUUGUUCGUUAGAGAGUCAAAUUAUAGAGCUCCAAAAGACUGACCCGGGUAUCUUCCAUAUCAAGAGAAAAAUGAAAGAGCAAGGCACCAAGCAUUUAAGGGUAGAUGAAAAAGGUGUACUGUGGUUUGAUGAUCGACUAGUUGUACCCAAAGACCGUGACCUACGCAAUAAAAUCUUAGAUGAAGCUCAUUCCUCUAAGUUGUCCAUUCAUCCUGGUAGUAGCAAAAUGUAUCAAGACUUGAAACCUCAUUUCUGGUGGACCAAGAUGAAGAAGGAAAUAGCAGCUUAUGUUGCUAGGUGUGAUACUUGCUGCAGGGUAAAGGCAGUUCACCUUAAACCCGUAGGUUCAUUGCAACCUUUGUCGAUUCCGGGUUGGAAGUGGGAAGAGAUCAGCAUGUAUUUCAUUGUUGGAUUUCCCCCUACUCAAAAAGGGCACAAUUCCAUAUGGGUGAUUGUUGAUCGCUUGACCAAGUCAGCUCAUUUCAUUCCCGUACAUUCUACAUACCGACCAUCCGACUAUGCUGAGUUGUACUUCUCUCAGAUCGUUAAGUUGCAUGGAGUGCCCCGCACCAUUAUUUCUGAUAGAGGUCCUCAGUUCACUACCCGCUUUUGGGAACAUUUGCAUUCGCUCCUUGGUACAACGUUGGUUCGCAGUUCAGCCUAUCAUCCUCAGACCUCCGGUCAGACUGAUUGUGUGAAUCAAAUCUUGGAGGAUAUGUUGAGGGCAUGUGUCAUCUCUUCCAAGGGUGCCUAGGAGAAGUGGAUACCCUUAGCUGAAUUCUCCUACAAUAAUAGCUGUCAAGAGAGUAUUCAAAUUGCUCCUUUUGAAGCUUUGUAUGGCCGCAAAUGUAGAACUCCUCUAAACUGGGUCGAACCCGGUGAAAGGAGGUACUACGGAAUUGACUUUGUCAAGGAAGUCGAAAAGCAAGUUCUCAUUAUCCAAAAACACAUGGAAGCCGCCCAAGCUACGCAGAAAAGCUAUGCUGACCGAAGAAGAAGACCACUCGAGUUUGAAGUAGGUGACUUUGUGUACCUAAAGGUAUCACCCAUGAAGGGAGUGAAUCGCUUCGGCGUAAAGAGGAAGCUCGCUCCUAGGUAUGUGGGUCCCUACCAAAUCAUUGAGAAGAGCGGCAAAGUGGCUUAUAAGGUACAGCUACCUCUAGAAAUGAGAGCUAUUUUCCCUGUAUUCCAUGUGUCCCAACUCAAGAAGUGCCUUCGCGUGCCUGAAGAAAGAGUUGAAACAGGAGGUCUUAAGUUGCAGUCAGAUCUAUCUUUUGAGGAGACACCUGUACAAGUUCUUGAUGUCAAAGAAAGAGUUACUCGAGGGAGGGUUAUUAAACUUUUUAGAGUUUUGUGGAACCUCCAAAGUGAAAGAGAUGCCAGUUGGGAAAGGGAAGACUAUUUACAAGUAACUUACCCCUCAUUCUAUGAAAAAUGGUACGUCUCUCAAAUCUCGGGACGAGAUUUUUGUAAGGAGGGAGGGCUGUAACACUCCUAGUGUUAGCUUGCAUGUUAACCAUGAGCAUUGCAUCAACAUAAGCAUCAUCAUGCUCAUUCAUAAGCAUCAUAUCAUGAUCACAUGUCAUCUUAUGUAUACCAUGUGUGAUUGACUUGCUAUGUGACUUGCUAUAUGUGAUAGUAAUGUGUGACCAAUGCAUGUAAGUGCACAUUGUGUUCCAAAAUACCUUAAUCAUGUUUAGAAUAUCAUUUUGAACAAAGUUUGUGUUGGAGGUUUCACCCAAAAAUGCCCCUAAGUCAUGGUUAGCCCUAGGUUGACCUAGUUGACCCCCCUAAACCUCUUUUCAAAGACCUUUUAUGAAACCUGUGUUAGUUACCUUGCAUGUAAAUGACAUCUAAAGCAAAGUUGUAGUAAAUUUCAUAAGCUACAAAAGUUGUGCUGAUGACUUUUUUUGCAAAUGCUUGGAACACAUACAAAAUUAGCUCACAAGGCAAAAAUCAGGGCUGUUUCCACACUUAGCCAAAUUUGCCUAAGUCUGAGUCGACACAGUUUCGAGGUAGGGUACUUGGGAGCUUUGUAGUUUGAAAUCCAAGCCGAUUUAGACCUGGAUCCUUUAAGCAAAUUUGUAGAACUCAUGUAGCUCUAUCCAAUGGAAUAAAUCCGAGCCAAAACCACUGAGUGAAUCUCGAGUAAAAUGUUGACGAAGUUGGAGUUUCAGUCACUGCGAUCGGGCGAUUCAGACACCGAUUCAGUUUGGACAGUCGCCGUCCGCUGCCGUGUGUCCGGCCAGGUGUCGACCGUACGCCACCGAUGACCCUGUCUAUCAGCCCCAAUGUCGUCCACAAGUCGCCACGCACCGGAUGGACGCCUCAGACGCGCCAUUCACCCCUCCAGCGCUCCACAUUUCGCUCCGCCAUCGCCUCGGCGAGCUCUCCCAGCCGCAUCACCGCAUCUCCGGCCAAGCCAGCCCGCCCAGAGCUCCGCCACAAUGUCCUCUACCUCGACGUCCACCUCUUUUCCUUAGCUAAGCACUGGUGAGGCCGCAUUGACAACUCCGUCGCGAGCUCCACCUCGCCGGAGUUCGCAGAGAUCACCGACAACGUGGCCAAACCUCUCUGGUCCACCUCUGGCCGUGAUUCUUCUUCCUACAGCUUCGCCUUGCUUCACUCUUGCUCGUCCGCAACCUCUACUGCGUCGUCAUUGCCUAGGUUCGCCGUCGUAACGCCGCGCAGCGCCACCGUUCCGCCAUUCGCGACGGCGAGCACCCUAGAGUCCCGUAGAGCGUGAGCCAAGUAGGUCAACAGGUUCGCCUCGAGGUGAGGAACACGUAGAUGCCCUCGGGUUCCCCGGAGACCACACUGUCGUCGAGAUUCACCGGCGACGAGCUCGUCUCUGCUCUCUGUCUCUCUGUCGCGUGGGUCCCAUCUGUCAGCAGGCCCCACCCGUCAGCCUCUAACCCUCUCCACUCUGGUUCACUGUUUUGCAGACCCUGUGUUGUUUUUGUAAAAUUCAUAACUUGGGCUAGACAGAAGUGAUUCCAAUUUUGUUAGAUUCUUGAGUUAGUCUAGUUUUUAUUAAAAAUAUAAAACAUGCCAUGUUUUUGCAGAAAUAAUUAGAUAUGAUUUAAUCUUGGUUAAAUAGGAGGUAAUUAUAUCUUGAGACCUGUGAGUCUUAUGGCCAUGCAAAUUUAGGAUAUUGUUAUAUAUGGCAUGAAUAGGCUCUGAUAAAUAUAUCAUGAUUUUUGGAUGACUGUUGGUGAAGUUAUAAUUAGUUCUUGUUUAAAUAGGAGUUUCUUGUGGUAUUUUUAGUAAAUAGAUUAUAACUCCUUUUCUGAUGAAACUUGUUGAGUGAUGUAACUAUGUACAAACAAAGAUAAGAAAAUUCUGAAAUCUGUUGUUUGACACAUUUUGAUAAGGUUUCACAUUUAUGCCUUUAAUUCCGUUAUUAGCUUGUCAUUUUUGUAUCUCACAAUCUACAUGUGCAAGAGCCCUGAAAACUUUACAGUAACCUUGCGGUAGCUUAGAUAGCGUGCCAUAAUUUUAUUAGAAUGUUUGGAGCACUUGUGAUAUAUGCUCAUUAACUCAUCUUAAUAAUUCAAUAAAUAGAAAACGGGAUAAUAAAAAUGAGUUUAAACCUUGCCAUGAUGUUUUCUGGUGUUUCUUAGACAUUUUCUAUCUACUAGUGCAUUUGGUUUGAACCAAUGUUAAAUUCUUAGUAUGUGUUAAAAUAUUAUUUUGCUAAUUAUGUCUUCCUAGAGCAUAUUCUGUGUAGCUGAUAGCGAUUGUUUAAGUACUGCUUGAAGAUGAGGUUUUCUGGAAAACUUGUCUAUAACAAACUUGUAGCUAACUCACUUAUCUACCAUGUGUCCAUAUUUCAUGACAUUUGGCUGAGUAGUUUAAGAGUUGUGAUUGUUACAAGAAGCUGCUGCGAAGUGCUUGCUCUCUGGAUUUUCCAGGACAGCCAGCAAACUUUGCCUAUUUCAACCUAUUUUGGGUGGGAAUCCUUCUGGGAUGUAUAAAAAUGAAUUGUAGACAAUUUGUUAAGCUUUCCAGAAAGUAUCUACUUACUUAGUUUGGCCAACUGAUGCCUAAGUUAUAGCUGAAACUUGUGACUAGCUAAUCUGUCCUUGACACCAGUUGAUAAGUGUGAAUAGCUAAGGUUGAGUAGCUUGCCUAGUUAGUCUCUCUAUCAGAGAAGAAGUAUGCACUUACUUAGCCAUGAUUCACUUACUCUUAGAAACUUGUGAUCAUGUUGCCUCUUGUUUCAUGUUCUUUGGUUUAUCCUCAUGGCAUCAUGCAUCAUGUGUGCAUUCCCUAUAUUUAUUACCCUGUCAUGAAUACUUAGGUGUACCCAAGGGCGUGACGGUUGUGGAGUUCGCACCACCCAAGCCGGAGGAGCAGCAGGGGGAGCCACCUCAAGGAGCUGAGGAGGAGGAGGAUCUACCGGAGUGUCCCGACCAUCGUCUCUCAAGCUACGUUGAAGGCAAGCCCCGGAGCAUUAUAAGCCUCCUACUAUUUUUGUUAUCAUGUCCAGCUCUCAAUUAACUAUGGUUAUGUAUUGUUGCAUUAAGUGCUAGGCGUUGCUAUGACACCCUUGCUGCAUAAUGAUUUCCUUGUCCACCUUAUACCUUACCCAAGUAGGUCCAGGAUUGAAAUGAUGCUUAGCCAUGCUUAGCUCGAUAGAAGCCGGGUGAUUUCCUAUCACCUGCGAGAGAUAGGUGGAUACUUGAUCACGAUUGGCUAUAUUUGCUAUCGUGGAAAUAACCAUGGUUAAUAAUGAAUGAGACCAGACAAGAUGACAAUAGUGCAGCAACAAGGCAUGGAGGUCUUGGGCGUGAAUCUAUCCCCGUCUGUGUCGGUUAAGGACCGAUUCACUGUACGUCCUUGUGUCAUGUUGAACGCAAACCUAACACUUAGUUGGCCGGAUAAGUCGUUCCGACCGCGAAGCCUACGAGUGCAACUCAGGCCGGAUACCCCCAUUCUGUAUGAGUGCGCACCCCGGUUGGUAGCAAGGAUGUGCGGGGAGUCAAUGGCGUAAGACCAAGGUGCCAGGUUAGAGUCCUGCCCUUGGCAGAUUGGCGGUCCCUGGGGUGCGGCGCUGGACGGACCCGCGAAUUGGUCUAGAGUUGUGCUAAAGGUGAUCCGAGCUGCCCUCACGAGGUAUGCUUGGGUGAGUGCUGGGAAUACCCCUCCAGCUGGAUAGGAAUCGAUUCGAAUCGCCGUCUCUCCCGGAUAGUGAGAACUUGACUCGAGCAGCAGCAACGUAGAACUCACUAAAUAAACUUAAUGGUUAAGUUGAGAAUGCUGAUAGCUAUGUGAUAAUCCGGAUAUGGUUAUUAUUGUGAUGCUUAAAUACUCAAGUGUAUGCUUAGAACAAGUGCUAAUCUAGUGGAUAGCUGAUCUAAGUAAUUAACUUGCUGCUGAAAUUGUUAUAUGUGUUACUCAAAAACUAAAGCUUUUAUGCAAAAGGUGAGUCAAACCAGCCCACAAAUGUUAGCCUUGCAUACUCCUUGGUGUCACUUUAUUUUGGGUUUAUGACGGGUAAGUCUAGCUGAAUACAUUCUCGUACUCAGGGUUUUAUUUACCCUUGUUGCAGAUGAUGUCGUUUAUCAUGGCUACUGUGCUAACUGUCAUCAUCCGGCUGCGGAUGAUGAGUAGAUCGUGGGCAAGAUCACUCUAUUCUCUUCAGUUGUGCUUUUGUGGGAAUGACUAUGGAACUGGCAUGUAAUUGAACUAAGUGCGUGUGUUGUUUAAAACUACUUUGCUUCUGCUACUGAACUAUGUUGUAAUAAAUCUAUUUGAACUCCGAUGUGUUGUAAACUAUGUUCUGUGAUGAAUGUGUGUAAUCUAUGAUGGAGAUGCUUGAUCAUGUACGGUCUUGGUUUUAUGUUAGUUGAAUCGAGAUCUUUUGAGGUUUCAUCGGACUACCGGGUUUAUAUGGGUUCAAGUCCACUGGCUUGACUGCUCUCGUGGUCACUAAUUUAGUUCAAUUCUUCUAAAUUGGACGGUUCUGUUACAGUUUGGUUAUAGGUUAUGAUUACUCCCGGUACACCUGAACAUUCUUCUUGCAAGACAAGGCCAAAGUUGCAUCAAUAUUCAAGAAGUUUGCAAAGAAUGCCCAAAAUCAAUUUGAUGUCAAGAUCAAGAAAAUAAGGAGUGACGAUGGGAAAGAGUUUGACAACACCAACAUUGAAGAAUAUUGUGAUGGAGUUGGAAUCAAACAUGAGUUCUCCUCAACAUACACACCACAACAAAAUGGGGUAGUAGAAAGAAAGAACCGGACAUUGAUCACCUUGGCAAGAACCAUGCUUGAUGAGUACAACACUUCAGAGAAGAUGUGGGCUGAGGCAAUCAACACCGCAUGCUAUGCAUCAAACCGGCUCUUUCCUCACAAGUUCCUAGAGAAGACACCAUAUGAGUUGCUCAAUGGGAAGAAGCCCGAUGUCUCAUUCUUUAGAGUGUUUGGGUGCAGACGCUACAUCUACAAGAAGCACCAACACUUGGCCCAGUUCCAAAGAAGAUGUGACAUUGGCUACUUGGCUAUUCAUCAAAGUCCAAGGCUUAUAGGGUCUUUAACCAUGCCACAAACAUGGUUGAAGAAACAUUUUAUGUUGAAUUUGAUGAAACUAAUGGCUCCUAAGGAGCAAGUGAUAAUCUUGAUGAUGUAGGUGGUGAACCAUUGAGGGAUGCCAUGAAGGACAUGCCGGUGGGAGAUAUCAAGCCAAAAGAGGAUGAUAAUGUGCAAACCAUUGAUCCACCAUCCUCCUCUCAUGUGCCACAAGAUGAGGACAAAGAUGUGAGAGAUGCUCAUGAAGACACACAAGUCACUCAUGAGCAAGCGGUGGCACAAGCUCAAGAUGUUGAUGCUCCCUAAGCAACCCCUCAAGUGGCAUCAAGAAGAUCAUCACAUCUCCUCCAAGAUCACUCUCAAGAUCUCAUCAUCGGGAAUCCAUCACGUGGUGUAACUACACGCUCUAGACAUGCUUUAUUUAUUGAACAUCACACUUUUGUGUCUCUUGAAGAUGAACCCAAAACCAUAGAGGAAGCUCUUUGGGAUGCGGAUUGGAUCAUUGCUAUGCAAGAGGAGUUAAACAACUUCUCCCACAAUCAAGUAUGGAUACUUGAAGAGCGACCCAAAGAUGCAAGAGUGAUUGGAACAAAGUUGGUCUUUCGGAACAAGAAGGAUGAUCAAGGCAAGGUGGUGCACAACAAGGCAAGGCUCGUGGCAAAAGGCUUUUCACAAGUGGAAGGUCUUGACUUCGGUGAAACCUUUGCACCGGUAGCAAGACUUGAAGCUAUCCGUAUCCUACUUGCAUAUGCAUCAAGUCAUGACAUAAAGUUGUUUCAAAUGGAUGUGAAAAGUGCCUUUUUAAAUGGUUACAUUAAUGAGCUUGUCUAUGUUGAGCAACCCCCUGGAUUUGAAGACCCUAGGUACCCCAAGCAUGUCUACCAAUUGUCCAAGGUGCUCUAUGGUCUCAAGCAAGCACCUAGAGCUUGGUAUGACAGGCUUAGGGACUUCCUCAUUAAGAAGGGCUUCAAAAUUGGGAAAGUUGACACAACACUCUUCACUAAUAAAAUGAAUGGGGAAAUCUUUAUUUUCCGAGUUUAUGUUGAUGAUAUUAUUUUUGGCUCCACUAAUGAAGAUUUUUGAAAGGAAUUUGGUGAUUUGAUGUCCAAGGAGUUUGAGAUGUCCAUGAUUGGCGAGCGAUCCUUCUUCCUCGGAUUUCAAGUCAAGCAAAUGAAGGAAGGGGUCUUCAUCUCUCAAGAGAAGUACACUCAAGAUCUUCUCAAGAGGUUCAAGAUGAUGGAUUGCAAGCCAAUCAAGACUCCCAUGGCAUCAAAUGGGCAUCUCGACUUGGAUGAGGGAGGUAACCCAGUUGACAAAACUCUCUAUCGCUCCAUGAUAGGAUGUUUACUUUACCUCACCGCAUCUAGGCCCAAUAUCAUGUUUAGUGUAUGUAUGUGUGCUAGAUAUCAAGCUAUGUGUUGACGGUCCUCAAGUGCCAAAUUCAACCGUCAACUAAACAUGGAAAAGGAUCAAUAUGCACCAAACACGUAGAAUUAGUGUUUAAUCUGACAGAAUUCCAUGAGUUUUGGUGUUUGUCUAUUUCUGUAGGGGAUUAUCAGAAAAUAUAGAAGGAAGGCCCACACAUUGGGUUUACAACGAGAUAAUUACGUGCGUGGCAAUUUUCCUCAACCUAGAAGAGUCCAGAAGCCACGAGAGCGAACGGGCCAGGAGGCCGGACGGGCCGGGGGCAGGGUGCCUGUCCAACCCCCUUGGUCGCCCGCCCAGCUACAGGGGCCAAUCAGGCUCCGUCUCCUGGAUCAUGCUCCACCGCCUCUAAUCUUCAAGGAAAACCGUGCGGUUAAGGUCGGUUUGAUCCGACGACCCACGUUCAUUUGAGGGGGCUAUAUAAGCAAGACCUCUCCACCCCAGGGGGAGAGGAGAAAUCAUUAUUAGAGGAAGCCAUCAAGUUAGGGUUUAGAAACUUCUCUCCUGCAGAGAAUUAGAAUUAGCUACUCUCAAUUCCUUCCAGUUCUAUAGGAUUGAUUAGAUAGAAUUAGAGAAGUAGAGCCUAGCGCUCUGGAUUUCGGAUCUUCAUCAAUAAAGAUUGGUAUUAUUUCAUAUCUUUCUCUACGACUUUAUUCUAAUUGCAUUAUGUCUCUAUUUAUUAUGAUCUUAGUUUGCUCUAGUUCUAUAUUUGAUAUAGUUAUAAUUGAUAAUGAGUUUAUGUAUAUGUUUGCAAAGCACUUAGCUCUUGACACGUGGGAGCUAUGUGGUAGAUCAUAUGUGGGCGUGGUGCUUAGAUAUUAUUUACCUGCAAAUGUAUCCUAUUGGCCAGGUUGUGUGGUAGUUCGCGAUGGUGACAGCUUCGUUGAUUCUUAUAUAGUCCACCCUCCAUUAUUAGGACAGUCAGAAUUCGUAUUGCAGAGUAAGUCUUGCUAUUUUCUGAUUUACUUUCGCAAUUUUCCUUAUACAUGAAUGAAGAGUCUUUUGUGCUAUAUAUGAUCUUGUAGAUGCCAAGAGUAGAUUGUGACUUAGUAGAUAUUAGAUACUUACAAUCCAUUCUCUAGCUAAUCCGACGUCACCUUACAUUUAUAUGGAGUAGUCUAUUUCUAAUCGUUGUGUUAUUUACCCAUGAGCUAUACUUCAUUAUCUUUAUUAUUAUGGCUUACCCCCUGCCAAAGCAAGUGACUGUGUGAUGAGUUUCUCAUUAGUAAUCAUGUUCUUACAAGUUUAUCUCUAGUCUAUGCCUUGAUAGAUUUUACCCCUGUUUUCACUUUCACCAUUCUCUUAAGCAAAAUUAUAAAUAACGAUACCCAGAAUACUUUUCCUGGUGAAAUGCUACAAUGAGGUAUUUUAUCUGUGCGCUUGCGGAUAGAAUAGAUUAUUUUCUAGAGAGCCUUCAUGUUCAUAAAUACCUUAGUACACUCUAGUGUCAUGCUAGGGAUGACAACCUAGUAUUGAAGUGGUGUUAGCAUGUGUCAACAAGCCUUUUUGGCACCGUUGCCGGGGAACGGUAAGGAAAGUUAGUAAGUCGGUCAAGGUUACGCACAUAAAAUAUUAGACUAGACUAUAGAGAAAUAAGUGCAUGAACAGCUACUGUAAAAAUGAGAAAUCAUAACAAGGCACCUCUGCUUUGGCAGGUUCACCCUAUUGUUUUUCUAUGUUUAUAUUUUUAUACAGGGUAUAUCAGGAUUGACUUUGGUACAUUCAACUCUUCAUCAUCAGAACCAAAGCAAUCAAGAAAGAAGCUAGCCACCAAUUGUUGAAGCUAUGGCACAGAAGACCCUACAAGAAUUCUUUGCUCCAAGCCUUGAGAACAUUCCAACUGGUCCAAGAUUUGAAGUAGAAGAAGGAGCACCCGAGUUCGAGCUCAAGUCAAGCCUCGUCAAUUUGGUGCAAGCUACACAAUUCAGUGGAAAGGCACAAGUUGACAAAGAUGCCAUACUGCUUCGCCUCUUUCCAUUCUCACUAGAAGGAAGACCAAGGAAGUGGUUCUACACCAAUCAAGAAAACAUCAACACUUGUACGAACUUGUCAGAUACCUUUCUAGCAAAGUUUUUCCCUAUAGGCAAAACAGUUGCCUUAAGAGGAAAUAUUGUCAGUUUCCAACAACAGAAGACAAACCAUUCCAGCAGCAUGAGAGUGUUUUCAAGGAUACAUAUCAGAUUGUCCUCACCAUGGAAUGGCCAGAUGGUUACUUAUGCAAACCAUCUACCAUGGAUUAACCCAAAAGUCUCGUGAGUGCUUAGAUGCAUCUGCUAAGGGAUAAUUUUUGGAUCUUACAAUUGGAAAAGCAGAGAUACUUUUGGACAGGAUAGCAGAAAACCAAAGCUUGUUCCAAGAUAAAGCUCAACAUUGUCAUCAAACUGAAGAAAUACCCGAAGAAGUAAAUGCACUAUCAACCAAGAUGGAAAAUUUGCUCCAUCGGCUUGACCAGUGAUGUGACCAUACCAAGGCAAUCAACAUUCAAGCAUCCACUCAAGGUGAAAGCUAAACUUAAUUCCAAAUCAUUUAGGUUUCCAUAUACAAGGCUACUACUUGGUUUAUAUGAUUAUAGAUUCAAACACCUUGCUAUCAUGGAACAAGAAGAUUGCGAUGUUAUCACAACAUUACAAACCGAUGGCCUAGCACAACUCUUUGGAUCAGAAGAGUUAGAGUCGAGGACGACUCCUUAUCAAGAGGGGGAGGAUGAUAUGACCAUGCCAGCAAGCAUGAUGUCACAAGCUCCAAGUCAAGCUACAACCACUCAAGUUUUACCUACACCGACACCAGCCCAAGUCAUCGAUGGACCAGUUACACGAAGUUAUGCAAAGAAGCUACAACAAGAGGUUCACGCGCUACUUUGUGAGGUUCACUUUAACAUUAAUGAGAAUUAUAUACUACCUAAGUGUUCUACAUUGAUUGUACUCAAGUAUAUAGAAGAAGAAAAGAAUGAAUCGGACCCUGAAGAACGGACCAGUGCAAGUCCUAGAAUACAAUACAAAACAGACCAGAGAGUCAAAAACAGACCAGUGGACGUCAAGAACGGACCAGUGCAAAGAAAUCUUCAUAACGUUUUACUCACAAAAGCUAUGAAGGCCCAUGAGGACUUGUUGGAAAGCUUAUCGAGUCUGCUUUCCAAUGCCUCAAGUCCCAUCUCAUUUGGACAAAGCAAUCAACAGUUAUGCUUGAAUUAGUCAAGACUGCUCAGAAGGUCAAUAGUCUAUCGUGACAGAAUGUUGGUACAAAUUACCGUGCAAAACUGUACCAAUAUACAAUGUUUGAUGGUUCAUGGCAUACAUUGCAGGGAAGAUCUUGGAGUCUAGUUUCACACCCAAGAAACGGUUCGUCAUUUGGACUUCCCAAUAAAAAGUUAUGGUCAGUUUAUUGGAAACUACUUUGGAGGCCAACAGUCACAUGAAGCCAGUUCGGGAAUCCAUUCCGAGGAGAACUUCCACAUUGCCUUUCCCCAGAAACUCUAUUUCGUUUUCAUACCUAUCUAGGAGGGUUGUUCCUAGUAUAAAUAUCCCCAACCUCUAAGCUAUCAGUAACUUUUGAUCAUUUGAUAAACUACAUGAUAUUGCAGCCGCGCUGCUGAGUGCCUUACUCAACAUUUGUUCUUCCUUGUUCUUCUUGGACUUGUGAAGUGAAUCCUCUGGGUUCCCCUACUUCGUGCUCUACGGCUUCCGUUCGGCUACGCCGUAUUGUGUGGAAUAGUUCCGAAUUGUGGUUCUACGGUCGUUCGGAGAUCGAGUUGAAGUCUUCAUGGUUUCGGUGCCUCUCUCCCCGUCGCUUGGUCGCAUCCAACCUUUGUCAGGUAUAAAGCUAGUUACCCGCUGUUCGCAGCAAGUUAUCCUUGUUCUUUUGAUCUACUGUCGUGAAGAUCGGGCCACCCUCGUACCGAUUCAUAUAGGUAACCUAUCAACUGGUAUCAAAGCUUUUGUUGUCACGGUAGGUCUCACAAUCAUCCACAUAUCUACCUUUAGUUUAUUUAUCGUUUGUUACUGUUUUAUUCAUCACCUAUAGUCCUCUGAAAAAGCCACAAAAAAUCCUAGAGCCCUUUGACGGUACUGUUAUCUUAUGUUUUGUGUUCAUCAAGUUGCUAGUCACCCUCUUUAUAUAUAUUGUGUUGUGUUUCAUUUGUUAUCGGCACCCCUGUUACUAAAAAAAAGAGUUCAAAAAAAAUAUAGAGAAAAAAAAAUCAGGGAAAGGAAAAGAGAAAGAACAGAAAAGUAGAAGAAGAGGAAAGGGGUUAUAUUGCGGUUUGCUUAGUGAAAAAUUUAGUUUAUAUAUUCAGAUUCUUGGUGAUUUAUAUAUCAGCAAUAUUAUAUCUUUUGAGCACAUCAAAUCACUUGAUUUUCAGUACCGUAGCCUCCCUUGUUUAGCCACCUAUAGCUCCACUCAAAAAAAAUGAAACCAGGACAUUCGACUCGUAAUCCUUGCGACCUCAGAAUCACUUUUGUUCAGCUGCUACACUAGCACAAUUAACUGUCCUUGAGAACAGGAAAGAGCAUUGGUAAGUAAAAGGUGAGAUUGUGUGAUUCCACAAAUUUACCCAUUCCACUAUAUCUUGCAUAAGUGCUAACAUGCCAGGAUCCAAUUCGAGCAUUCGCGGUGGUCGAUAUGGAGAAAAAGAAACAUCGGUUUCACGGGCUGAGUUAUGCCAACUACAAAACUCACUAGUGGAGGCCAUGGAGAAGAUGUUUGAUGAACGUCUUCCUAUGGUGCGCGGUCAGGCUAAACAACAUAGCUCAGCCAACUCUCGCCGUGGUCUCUUUGGCCAUAGUGGACAACAUGGAGGAGGUGCUCAUGGGCAUAGCAUUCGCACCCGUGUGCUCAUUGACGAAGAAGAUUACUGUGUGUCCCCCAAAAGAAAAAUUCAGCAAGGGUGCCAAGAGUUCAAUCAGGACUCGUUUCGGGGAUUAUGCUCCAAAGACCUAAAGGAUCAAGGAUAAUUGUUCAAUCAAUGUCGGUUUGAUCCGAUGGCCCAUAUUCACUUGGAAGGACUAUAAAACCAGACCCCCUGGCCCCUGGAGGAGGGCACCUCUCAACCCUAAUUCAUUAUUCAUCAGGGAGAAGAAGCCUCUGAUCAAGCCUAGAGCCACCACAUCAAUUAGAUAUCUAGAUUAGCAUAGGUACAGAGGAUUAGAACUAGAAGGAGUCAAUCUUCGAUUGGUUUCCGGAUCUGUCAAGAGGAUUCUUGGUAAUUCUCUAUUGUUCUUCAAUUGUUCAUCUUUGUUCUUCGAUAUUAUGAAUAUGACUUUGUUCUACUUCAAUAUAUUGAUUAUGACUUUGCCCUACUUGUUUAUAUUCGCAAUUAUAUUGUUCUUAGUUUAUCGUAGUUAUAUACUUGGCUUAGUUAGAUUGGAAUUAUAUACUUGUUUAGGAUCGUAUAGCGUUUAUCCAUCGGAUCCAUGGGUAAAUGAUAGAUAUGUGUAGGCAUGGUGCUUAUACCGUAUUUAUCUGCGAUUGUACCCUAUAUGCCAGAUCGUGGGGUAGUUCGUGGUAGUGACAGCUCCAUUGAUUCUUAUAUAGUCCCCCUCUCGUGUAUUGGGCUGGCAGAGCAACAUUAUUACAGGGGAGUGCUUGCGAUGUUUCUCAUAUUCCUUGAUAAUAUCACUAUGCAUGGGCGUAGUCCUGUCUCACAAUGAUUGUUAAGUAUAAUUGCACUAACUAUGAUAUGCUAGACUGUAUAGUUAAGAAUAAUUUAGGAAAUAUUCUUGUAGUUCGUCCUAAUACCAUGCUAAUGACUUGCUAGAAUAUCUAAUUGAGGUGCUUAUCAUAUUUAUAUGUGGCUAAGUUAUGCUGAUCAAAUUAAUUAUCUUUGUCAUCAUUCAUUACUUUAUAUAUCCUUUAUGUGACACUUAUCCCUGUAUGAAAGAGUUAGAUAAAUGUUCUCAAUUAUACAUGCAAUGAUAGAUACUCAAUCUUAUAUUCCAUUCUAUAAUCAACAUUGAUGAUUACAAAUCCCUUCCCAGUGGUAAAAAUAUAAAUAACGAUACCUGGAAUACUUCCCGGUUAAAAUGCUACAUCAGUAUUAAUCUGUGCGCUUGCAGAUUCCAUUCAUUAUUUAUUUAGAUGAGCAAUUGCAUAUUUCAAUACCGCAUCUCUCAUGUCAUGUUGGGGAGGAAAACUUGGCUUAAGUGGUAUGAGGGAUAGGUUUGGCAUUUUUGGCGCCGUUAUCAGAAUUAGAAAACUAAGUCUACUUUUGGUAAUGACGUUAAGAAUACCCAACAAGCAUUUUUGGCGCCAUUGCUGGGGAAGGUUGAUUACUAAUCAGGAAUGAAUAUAGGAUUUUGAGUCAUCAUUCGCAUCACUAAUAUGAUUGAGCAUAUCAAUUCUCUCAUACAGUUUUACCCAUAUAUUUUUCUAUUUUAUCUUAUGCAGGGGAAUGUAUGAAUAGAAGACAUCUUCGAGGAAAUUUUAUUGACAAUCCCGAAGCGUUAUUCAGAAAAACAAGAGCCAAGCUCAAAAAGAGAUCAUCAACACUUCAGCACGAAGCUUCAUCCAAUCAAGAAAAUCACCGGAACUUGUCUUCAAAGUUCGAAGUCGUGGUGAACAAAUCGAUCCGUGCGUUCACAGCUCCCACUACGGACAACAUCCGCACUGGACCUGCUGUAGAGAUCAAUGGCAACUUUGAGCUCAAGCCUGGACUUAUCAACAUGGUGCAAUCCAACCAGUUCUGUGGGAAGGCACACGAAGAUGCUAGUGCUCAUCUCCAACACUUCCUGGAGAUUUGCAACACAUUCACCAUAUCAGGAGUCCCCAGAGAUGCUAUACUACUUCGCCUCUUCCUGUUCUCACUGUUGGGGAGAGCGAAGCAGUGGUUCUACACUACAAAGGAGAAGAAUACUACGUGGGCACUCUGCUCCAUGAACUUUCUGGCUAAGUUCUUUCACAUGGGCAAGACCAAUGCUCUCCGUGGGAAGAUUACAAGUUUUCAGCAACAACAUGAUGAAUAUGUUCCAGAAGCAUGAGAGCGCUUCCAAGACUACAUCCUAGAAUGUCCCCAUCAUGGAAUGGAGAGGUGGCUACUGAUGCAGACGUUUUAUCAUGGGCUUAGCAACAGUGCCCGAGAAACCAUGGAUGCUGCAGCUGGAGGAGCAUUCCUAUCACUUACCAUAUCACAAGCCACAGCUCUUGUGGAGAAGAUGGCGUCCAACCAAAGCUAGAAUGAAGAAAGGACCCAGACACGCAAGAGAGGUGGAGGUAUACAUCAGCUCAAGGAGGUAGACAUGUUGUCUGCAAAGCUAGACCUGCUCAUGAAGAAGCUCAAUGAUGGAGCUGGAGAUAAGAAAGAAGUUAUGCACAUCUAUGACUCUCACAUGACUUGUGAGGAGUGUGGAGAUACUGGACAUUCAGGCAAUCACUACCCUGAGAUGCUUGAGGAUGUGAACUACAUCAACAACAACAACUACUACUACUACAACCGUCCUCAACAAAAUCAAGGUUGGAAUCAACAAAGGCCUAACUACUCAGGUAAUUAUCAAGGUAACAAUUCUUACAACAAUAAUAAUAAUAAUUUUCCACCUCUGAGAGAGUUAGUGUCUAAUCAAGGGAAGCUAAUGGAUAACCUAUCUAAGAAAUUGGCAUCUAAUGAUAAAAUGCUAGAAAAUAUAAAUAAUAGAAUGGAUAAUUUCUCUACUGCCAUCAAGAAUCAAAUUAGCUUUAAUAAAAUGAUUGAAUCUCAGUUAAAUCAAAUAGCUGUUGCUGUUCCUGCUACUAACCCCGGUAUACCAUCACAACCGGAAGGAUUAGAAUCUGCAAAUCUUGUAGACAUGUUUGAUGCAGGUAACUACUAGAGUAACCCCAUCAGUGAAGUUACUACUGACCUUUUGCCGGUCAAGAGAGGCGAUCCAGGACGCCCCGUCAUCCCGAUCUCCACCGGCAUGGUGGACUUCCCAGAAGCACUCUGCGACUUUGGCUCUAGCGUCAACAUUAUGCCCAGGGUACUCUAUGAAAAAUUCUUUACAUAUCCUUUAGUAGAAACAACCAUGUGUUUGUAGUUUGCAGAUCAGACAAUAAGUUUUCCAAAAGGAAUAUUGAAGAACCUUUGCGUCAGAGUUGGUACCUUGUACGCCCUAGCAGACUUCGUGGUGAUAGAGACCGGUAAUGAUGAGAGGGCACCCAUCAUCUUAGGGAGGCCAUUCGUGAACACCUCGGGAGCUGUCAUCUACGCUAGUGCUGCCAAAAUCAGUUUCUACAUCAAAGGGAGGAAGGAGACGUUUUUCUUCAAGAACAAGACUAUACAAAUGCUAGAGCAAUCCCGACAUGAACCAAGAAGAGGACCAACAGGAGGAACAGGAACAAGCAAGUGUGGACCGAAUCAGCUAAGAUGGUUACUACAGUUCAUGAGGACAAGAUCAUCGACUUAAGUCACCUUUUCUGACCAAGAAGGAUGACCCAGGAAUGCCAAGCAUCUAUUGCUCCAUAAAUGGAUACAACUUCUACAAGACGACUUGCGACACCGGAUCGAGCGUCAACAUAAUGGCCGCAGUCACCUAUCGGCUCUUGUUCGGAAUCGUGCCCUUAAAACCAACAUACAUUCAGCUCCAGAUGGCAGAUCAUACAUUUUGGGAGGUUAAAGGUAUAGUAACUGAUGUCUCUGUCAAAAUAGACGAUCAUUUUGUCUACACAGACUUUCAGGUUAUUGACAUGGGAGAAGACGAAUACGAUCCACCCGUCAUCCUUGGAAGACCGUUCCUCAGCACUGUUAAAGCAAUCAUCUACAUUGGAACUGGAGAAGUCCAUAUGCACUUCCCCUCAGCGAAGGUACGCCACUAUUUUACUGACCCUAACUAUAUCAUUGAAGACUCUAAGCAGGUCAGAAGAAGAUGACGUAACCGCAACCAGAAGAGGCAAAUCAUCAAGGAUGGAUGGGCAGACUAUGAAGGAGAAGUGAUAAGGUCUGAAGACAUACAGCUUGAACAGAAUUAUCCUGAGAAGACCGUAGCACCAAGUCAGGUGUGGAGAGAGAAGAUAACAAUACACGAAGAAGAGGCUCCACUGAAAGCACCGACUGCGCCACCCAAUGAAUCCCAAGACAACUAGAAAAUAGAGAGUCCCGUUCGGGGGACAUAAAAACACCGAACGCCUUGCCAAGAGGUAAACUUGGUAGUUAUCCUUUCCCUUUAUUUAAAAUAGUUUACUUAGUUAAUCAUGUUCAUACUAUCCUAAAAAGAAAAUAAAAAUGUUAAAAAACAGUAAGCCCCAUGUGAGUAUACGAGUGGCAUGAAACCCAUAAGUACAUUCACUGUGGUGGCAUAAAAAUAAAAUAAAUAUUUCUUUUCUGUUCUAUAAAAUGAAAAUAUAAAAAUAGAGAGUAAUAUUUAUUGAGGAGGCUCAACAUGAUAAAGGCUAGAUAUUUAUGCUAACACCUAAUCAGUUCUACAAAGCUUUGUUGUCUAUUUGAGCUCCACAGAAUUUAAGAAUCAAGAAGACUAGCACACGGAGGACAUUCUAAUCGUUGUCCGGAUACUGCCGACUUUCAAACACCUCUGGUACCUGCUAGCUAUAUCUGAAGAAAUUACGUCAAAAUUCAGCUUGGGGGAGAGCACCCCCAUUUAUCCUGCUAAGUAUUUCUAUCUAUCUUUAUACUUAUACUAUAAUAAAAUAUAAAUAUACAUAACUAUGGAAAACCAAAUAAAGAUUUUGUGCUUAUAUAUAUAUAUAUAUCUUUUGCUUAGUGUGCUUAAUAAAUAAACAAAGUGGCUAUGCUAAACUGAAUCUAAAAAAUAAAACUCUAGCAUGGAUAUGAUGAAUAGUUGCUCUGCCUAAUUUUUCAAAAUUUGAAGUUCUCUCUCAAGUUUAGACAUAACUGUUAUAAUUUAAAGCUUACUCUAAACCUGAACUUGUGGGAGGAGAACUUAAUCUGAAGUCUAGGUUGUUAACGGAUAUGAUAUGGGAAGGUUGAGCUGCUGUUUAUCUGUUCCUAGAGAUGCUAGAAUUCUGGAGAAUUUUAUCUUUGAAAAAUCUUUAAAAUACUACAUGAUGAGUUCCUGUAUGAUGAGAGUUUAAAUUACUACCACAGCCAUAUAUACAUGCUUGCUAGACUUUGAGCCACACAUUUACUUUUUACUACUUAUGAGCAUUGAGUGUGGUCAACCUGUGUAGACCCUUAGGAGCUUGUCAUGUGGUUAAAUCAAGAUUCACUUGCACGUUCACUCACACAUGCUACUUCUACUUCGGAAGUACGCUUCCACAUAUAUCCAUUCAUUUCCAUCUCCAGAACCACCCAAAAAUAUUCUACUCCUAAUCCGGGAGAGAAUAGCCAAAAACAUUUCUGUUUUCCCCUGUUAAAUAAAUGCUCAACUUAUCUUGGUUACUACCACUUGCUAUAUUAUUUCAUGAGAUGAGUGCUCUAAAAAAAACAAAUAUAAAGAAGAUACAAGGAAAUAAAAAGGGGCAAGUGUCCGGAACCUCGAAAGAAAAGAAAAAAGUGAGACGAGAGGAAAAAAUGGACAAGUGUCCGACAGUACAAUUAGGGGUACAAGAUACCCACCUGAGAGGAAUGAAAAACAAAAAAAUAUAGAGCAUCUCAUUCUCCGCACAAAGUUUCAAAGAGCAAGGAAGGUAUGUAUCCCCUCAAAGAGCAAAAGUAGAAUUAGACUUUCACCAUUGUUAUCAUCAUCAUCACCAUACACCAUUCAUUCGCCACACAUGCACAUCUUGAUUUGACUUAUUGGCUUGUUUAUUUGGAUCCAUGGUUUGACUAUGCAAUAAAUGUCUUGUAAGUAUGUAUACUUUAUCUCCCACCUAUGAGCUCCAGAUAUCAAAAGCCUUAUUAGAGUAAGAUGAGAGAGAAGGCAAUGUCACUAUGCCUUAUACUACAAAUACUACAUACUUUGAGAGAAGACAUAUACCAUCACUGCCUUGGUAAGGAUCCAGAAAUACCACAAAAGAGAGAUCUGAGAGAGUCAUACAAGGAAUCUCUGAGUUUUAUUUUAAAAUCUACAAAAACUUCAGAGCUAUAGCUGAUCAAGAAUAAGAGACAUGGCACUUGACUAGACUGUUCUAUCUUUUAACUACUCAAGACAGAAGUGACGGUUACAAGUCCCAUGGUAAAAGGUAAAAUAAAUAAGUUUUAAGUCUUGAUAGUUUACUCUAACUCAGAGAUGAGACCUCAUUUAGAAGCAUGAGUACCGUCAAUUUUCAAAGGCAUUACAACAACUUUUGAACCAUCGCUGAGAUUAUCCCUGCUCAGGGACGAGCAAGAGGUAAGCUUGGGGGAGUUUGUUGACGGUCCUUAAGUAUCAAAUUUAAUUAUCAAAUAAACAAAGAAAAGGAUCCAAAUGAAAUCAACAUCCAGACUUAGGGUUAUAUCUGACAGAAUUCCACAAGUUUUGGUGUUUGUCUAUUUUUGCAGGGGGUUAUCAGGAAAUACGGAAGAAAGGCCCACACGUCGGGAUUACAUAGAGAUAUUAAUGUGCCGUGCAAUUAUCUUACAUCUAGAAGAGUCCAGAAGCCGCGGG
rnacentral:lncRNA from 1 species